rnacentral:lncRNA from 1 species
AUUAGGGUUUACAUUUAAGGAGAUAUCAGGAGAGUGGAUGCUCAUGGGUUUGUGAAACUUGAGCAUUUCAACACUUCAUCAUGUUAGAGUCCAAUUCCAGAAUAAAAUAUUUUCUGCCAAAAUAUUUCAGGACUAUAAAUAGAAUUCUGAACUAAAUUAUUCAUUAUUCACAUUUCCAACUAGAGAAAAGCCAUUUUCUCUCUCACGGAUCUUCGGGUUUUUAUCCCAAAUCUUGAGUCUACUUUCCUAUAUGUUUUUUAAUACUUGUUAUAUGCUUAAUAACAUUGCUUACAUGUCUAAAAUGAGAGAUCCGGGAGUUUACCGCCCAAGAACGUUCUUGGGGAGUAAAACUCCAAAACGAAGCCUAAGAGCUAUCUAGUCCCAUUUCCUUGUUAGGUAGCUAGUUAAGGACAUUAUGUAUGAUCUUUUAAGGCUAGAACACAAUCAAUAACACUUAGCUUUUGGAGUUUACGGCCCAAGAAUUUCUUGGACCGUAAACACCAUUUUUCAAGGGCUUAAAGUGCCCUAAACACUCCUAAGACUUUAAGACAAUAACCCUCUAUUACUUGUAGCUUGAAUGGGGAGUGAAACACAUCAAAAUCAUCCCUAAAACGGAGUUUAUGGCCAAGGAUAUGCUCUUGGGCCGUAAACUCCAAGUAAAGGCACCAAAGUGUGCCUAAAGUCCCCUUUAGCCUUAAACAAAAGUCUAGAAUUUAUCCUUUGUGUGCAAGAGGCUUAAAAGAAUUAAAACACCCACCCCAUAGGAGUUUACGGCCGUAAACUCUAGGGGAUAUGGUCUUUAGGCCGUAAACUCCUCAAAGGAGCAUUCUAAGGCCCUAAACUACCUAAAGGAUUAAACCACCCAUGCUAGGCUUAUUCUAGAAUUCAUGUAGCACCUUAAAACACCCAAAACCACCAAGAUUGGAGUUCCCAGCCGUAAACUCAAGGGUGUACGACCGUAAACUCCAAGGGUGGGGUUUGUUGGGUGGUAAACUCUUAUUCAAAGUCAUUUGGUACAUUAAAUCCUUUUGCCGUGUCCCAUAUCGAGUUAGAUGCAACCCUUAGGACCUAUAACACUUAUACAAAGUGUUUGCAUGUUGCUGAGUGUCCCAUCUUAUUUCAUUAAGUUAUUAUUUGGCUAAUUAGUUAUAUAUAUGCUUAUUAUAUGAUAACUAGGCUCGUGCGUGUAAACAAGUCUCGUUUGCCACCUAGCACGGUAUCCAACACUACCAUCCAAACUGCUCACCACAAGUGAGUUCAUACCCCUUUAAUCAACCUUUGAAAUGAUUUUAAAUGUUUUAAAUACUUUAUGGGGGGAAUACAAGUUAAAUACUUAUAGUUAUUACUUCAAUCACAUGUGAUUGCAUUAAUCACAUGUGAUUAAUAACUAGGAAACCAAUGAUUUUAUCACUGUUCAAACUGUUUAUCAAACUGCUUUACUUCAAAAUGUUUUACAAACUCUUUUACUUAUCAAAUACUUUUAUUUAAACUUUGUUAUACUUCUUAUAAAUUGCAUGCCCAUAUAUGUAUAGAUAUAUAAGCAAUGUUUAAAGGGCUUAGGAAGGCCAUCCGCCCUAUUUCCUUUUUCUCGAUUUGGAUGUGGUCUGGUGGGAUUUCGGGUAACCAUCCGAAGGUCGUUUCAAUAUUAAUUAUAUAUCAAAUAUACAUAUAUAGACAUAAAAGUACUUCCAUAUUCAUACGUACUAGACACAUCAUUAGUAAGUUACCAUCGGGGUAACACAGGAUCAUACUAUUACAACUGCUAGAUCAAUGAGUCAGUUCAUUCAUGAGUCUAUACAUUACAUUACUAUGAGAACAUAUACAACUAUACUAGAAAGAGAACAUAUACAACUAUACUAGGAAGAGAACAUAUACAACUAUACUAGGAAGAGAACAUAUACAACUAUACUAGGAGGAGAACAUAUACAACUAUACUAGAACGAGAAACAUUACAUUACAUAUACAAGAAUACGUUAACAAUUGUGAUCCACUGUAUCGGAGCAUGCCUUAAAUGUCAUGGCCCGAGUUGUAGCCAGAAUUCUCUUGGAGGGAGAGCGUGAGUUUGCGUAUAGAUCUAUACUGGAUUGACUAUCCUACACCUUGCUGCUAGCUACAGCCGGACCUGCAGGUCUGCGGGUGCCAAACGUCAUUCCGUUAUUACGACCAUUCGUAUGUCGUUGUUACCAGUCGAUAGUAUGGUGCAAUUAUCACAUUAUACCUUAAUAUAAAUCCGGUUUAAGGUAGUUAGUACAACAGUAGUUCCUAUAAUACAAAACUACAGUACUACAAUGAUUUACCCAUUACAUAUUUUUAGUGAUAACCUCACUUAAACAUUAAUGUACAAACUAUAUUUUGUUAAAUGAUAGUUACACUUGGGAAAUUACACACUUUUACAACAAACGAGCAUACAAAACAGUUAAGCCUUGGUAGAAGGCCACUUUAAUAGAAAAUAUAGAUUUUUCUGAGAGAUUCAAACUUUUACAAACACUUACAUACAUUUUACAAAGUUAUACUUGAGACACAUUCAAACGUUUUUGAUAUCAAACACAGACACUAAAAUACUUAUGAACUCACCAGCUUAAUGCUGAUAAACUCUUUCAAAAUAACUUGUAUUCCCAGGUCAUCAGUAGACAGGUACCGAUGCCAGCUUUUGAGAAGAUGGAGCGCAUUCAAGACUCGUCUUAUUAUUUUGAUUUAUAUUAUUUUGGUGUCUAUAACUGUACAGAACACGCUUGUAUUAAAAUUAUAUAUUUAAUGCAAUGGAUGAUGUUGUUUGCUUAUUUACAUUUACUGUGUUGUUAUACUUUACAUGACCAGAACGUUUCCGCCGUUCUUGGUUUUGGGGUGUGACACUUGCACACUGCAUCGGACCGUUGUGCGGAAACUACAUCGGACCGAAGUCUGGAACUAACCGAGGCAUUGCCCUCUGCAUCGGACCGAAGUCCGGAAACUGCAUCGGACCGAAGUCCGGAUCUAACCAGGGCCUUGCCCUCUGCAUCGGACCAAAGUCCGGAAACUGCAUCCGAUCGAAGUCCGGAACUAACCAGGGCCAUGCCCUCUGCGUCGGACCAAAAUCCGGAAACUGACUGAACAUAGCAUAGCAUAAUCAUAACUACUAACAUAACACAUAUACUGCAUACUGCAUCGGACCAAAGUCUGGAACGCAUAACACAAAGACAUACUUGAGUCACAAAGACAUCAAGCACACUGAACUACUGCAUCAGACCGAUGUACGGAACUCACUGAACAUAACAUAACAUGAUCAUGGCAUAUAAUAUGAACACAUAUUCUGCAUACUGCAUCGGACCAUAGUCCAGAACACAUAACACAUACCAUGCCUGUAUCACGAAGACAUCAAGCAUACUGAACUACUACAUCGGACUGAAGUCCGAAACUACUUCUAACUUAAACGGGCCGGCAUUGUGGCCAUAGACCUGUUCCUACUGAAAGGAAACUCACCUCACACUGCUGAAGUCCCAUAGACACAAUCCCACACUACUGAAGUCCCGCAGACUCAACCCUAGCUGCUGGAUGAUAGAUUCCCGAACUAUCAACACCAAAUAACACCCAAUUAAUAAUUGGGUUCUAACUCAUAACUAUAAAUACAUACUUUGGAUAAUUACUACAUUACCCCUAGCUUGGCUUACCGAAGCCCAAGGCCCAACCCAUAGGCCAAAAAUCAACUAGGGAUCAAAGCCCAACAUAUGGCCCAACUUUCCAAAUUUGGCCCAAACCUCUACAUGGACUUCGCUUAAGGCCCAACUGUUCAGUCCAGUCCAACAUGUCUCAUUCUAAGGGCCCAAUAUCUUACAACCAUCUAUGCCCAAACUAUGGCCCAUCUAAGGCCCAAUUUUCCAAAUUGGGCCCAAUCCUUCAUAUGGGCCUUACUCUAAAGCCCAACUAAUUAUUCUAGUCCAUUUGCUCAUUCUUGGAUGGCCCAACACAAAGCCCACGUGAAAUUAGGGUUUCACAUAAAAUGAUGAUUAGGGUUAAGUGUUUCUUACUUAACCCAUUAAGGACUUAAUCCAUUAAAUGCUCUGCUCUACUAUACAUGAGAUGGAGUGAUUGGGCUUAAUACAUAAUCCCAUCUCAAUGGCCCAAAAGUGGGUCCAAUAAGUCUAAGGCCCAAACACUCACAAUUAGGGUUUUCUAAACCCUAAUUAGGGUUCCUCAUCCAAACGUGGCCCAAUAGGCCCAAAAUAAAUCUCUAAGCCCAUUAGGGUUUUGCUUAUGGGACACAACCCACUACCACCUCGGGUAGUGGUGGUUCAUGGCGGCUCACGGCGGCGGCCACCACCUUAUGAUGGUGGUUUUGUGUUUCUUUUAUUAUUCAAUUUGCUAGUUACAAUUACAGUUAUUAAUCAUCAAUUACACAUGCACUACUAACAAACNUCUAGUGGUGGCCGGUGGUGGUAGAGGGUGGCAGCCACCAUGGUUGGCAACCAUGGUGCUUUUUUCAUGGUUUCCGGCCAAAAAGCACACCUCUACUAUCUAAGCAACACCAAAUUUGCAACACAUGAGCUGAACCCGUGAAACACGCCCAUUAGACAUCUUGUGGUGGCACGCGGCGAGGAUGACAGCAGCAGUCACCAUGGCCGACUGCCAUGGUGGUUCUUUCAUAGCUACCCUUCGAUAGAAAACCCACGCAACCAUAAGACUAGUAACAGCAGCACCGGAUACAUACAUACUUGCGUUACAUGGAUGAAACGCACACCACAAACUCCAUUGGAGUGACUGUUGACCAGAGCAGCGGAGAAGAAGCGCGUGAGUGGCGGCGGACACAACUGUGGGGUAGCACCAAGGGUCUGAGAAGGAACUCCACCAUGAACGACAUUAGCAGGAACAGCAAGAAAAGGGACCUUCGCCCUUGGUCCUCACUGACGUCGGCCAUCAGAGUGACGAUGUGCCGGUUGACAGCCCGUAUCGGCUGCAAAGCAUUGGCGGCUAACGGCAGUCAGCGGGCGUCCCGGUGUUGAUCGGAAAAACAAGGAGAAGGGGGAGCGACGGCUGGGGAGUCACAAGGGUAGUGGCGACUGUGGAAAUCAUGAUCUAGGGUUUGGGUUCUUUGGUUGCACUCCUUUGACAAGAGGAUGAGGGAUCGGAUAUAUCCCGUAACUCCAAACCAAAUUACAUUGCCAAAAAUACACUUUUGGUCCCUCCUCCCCAUAUAAUUUUCAGCAUCAAUCCAAAAUUUACCUUUUAAACCCUAAUCCCAUAAAUUCCUUUCAUAAUAGAUCCCUAUAUUACUAAUAAGCCCCUUAAGCCUUCAAAUCUUUUCAAUUUAAAUCCAUUUAUUACCAAACGCACCCUAACAUCUGUAAUUAUGACUUUAAAUUCCUCGAAACCAACGCCUCGCUAAAUUAUUUAUUCAUUUUAGGGCUUCUAUACAUUUAUUUAUUUAUUUUAUAAAUGGGGUGUUACAGUAUUAUUGUGGGUUGAAAACCCUAUAUGCUCACUAGGCUCCCAAGCCUGACCCACUCAGUUUUCUUUGUAUCAUAGGUAUCAAUACGAAGACAUAUUUCACUGAGAGAUUAAAGGAGAUGUAAAUCAUUAGUGUAAAUAAAUGUAAGUUCUGUUUAUGCUUAUGUGUCUGUAUCGGAACAUGACAUCCCAAGAUUUUGUUAUAUAAUGAAAAUACAUUCUCAUUGAGAAACAUUUUGAUAAAUUCUUAUGAUAUUUUGUUUUGGGAACAAAUUCCGCAACAAUUUUCUUUAAACGAUUACUCUGAUUAUAAAAACAAAGCAUAGACAAAUCGGUCUUUUCUGGCCGUGAAAUUGGGUAUGUCACACCCAUUAAUUCAAAACACCCUUCAAGUGUGUGUCCAAUUUUAUAGCAAUAUGAACACCAUCUAUCAUCAUUCUUUCCAUUCUUCUUUAUUCUUUCUUGUUCAAGUUACUUUAAGAUUUUCCUUUGAUGCUAAUUUUUUGGAGCUGUAUUGUUGUUGGUAUAGAAAGCGACGGCUUCUCCCAUUGUACUUCUAGUAGCACCAAUUUUUUUUAUGCUGUUCAUAUUGACUCAAAAUUUGAUAUGCAUUGUUUAGUGUGAGUAGAGGAUCGAUACUCAGAUUUGCAUCCUUAGGGCUCCUUAUUCUUCAUUGAGUCCUAUCAGAAAUUCAUAAAAGCAGUCAUUUUCUCUUGAUCUUGCAAUCUCUUUUACGAUUUCACACUUGCAACCUUGGCAGGUGCAUGCCUAUAACGGGGUAAUUGAUUGGACUUCAUCCCAAAUUCUUCUUAACUUUGUGUAACUACCUGAGAUCAUCAUAUUUUCUUGGCGGAUUGUGGUUAUCGUUCUUCUCAGUUCAUAUUCUCUUGGAGCAUUUUAUCUUCCAAAUCUUUCCUCAAGGUCUAGCCAAAUAUCAUGAGCAAUAACAUCACAUUUUAUGCUGCUCUUAAUCUCUUUUUCCAUAGCGCUAACGAGCCAUCCUCUAACUAUGGCAUUACAUCUCUUCCAGUUCAUCAAAUCUGUAAAUCCGUCUUUUGGUAUAGGAGAGAACUAUCAAUGAAUCCAUCCUUGUUCUUGGAGAACAAGACAUUCCUUAUAUCAUUCUUCCAAUCACUGUAGGUACCAUCAUGGAGAAGAUUCUCUCCAACGAAGUUUAAUCCAGGGUGAUUAGCAGAAGUGAGAAAAUAGAGUGAUGAUACGUCGAUGGUCUUGCAUGUGGGUGGUGGUAGUGUCUAUCGAUCGCUAACAACCAUCAUUUAAACAAAGCUAGGUUUGAGUUUCCAGUCUUUCUCUGAUAUGAUAAUAAUUUUAGAGAAGUAAACAUAUUUUCUUAUUAUUGAUAAAUUGAUUUACAUAUGAGUAUAUAUAACUAGAACAGAAAACACAAAUCCUAGAGUACCUAAAAUAUUUAAAAAAGAUAAAUACAAAAAAUAAAGAUAAAUAAAAGAUAGAUAAAGAUAAUAACGAUCCUUAAUCUUAAUAGAUCUCGUUUUGAUUGAAAAAUUUUCAUCCAAAAAGAAUUCUUAGACAUUUGGAAAUCUCUAACUUUCCAAAAUAUCUUGAACCAUACAUGUGUAUACGUAUAUGUGUUUUAACAGGGAAUAUAGUUGUAAUCUUAUGGAAAUUCUUGGAAAUUAAUUAUAAAAAGUUGCCAAGGAUCUAAAAUUGUUGCAAUGUUUUUGUAGUUUUAAUAUAUGAUAAAACAGUAAUAUAUUUCUAUACUAGUUGUGAGACUCAUGUAUUAUAUUAGUUAAUUUAAAAAAAAACAAAGUUAAAUAUAAAUGUCAAAAUAUUUGAGAACUUUGAAUUUAUAAGAAAAUAAGAAAAAUAAUUAAUUAUUGUAAUAGAAAUGUUUUUUAUCUUUUAAAUUUAAACAUAAAUUAAAAUAAAGAAAAGAAAUUAAUGAGCUUUAGUUUUGGGAAUUUUGAGAUUAAAAGGUAAGUUUAUUAAUCAAAUUAAUAUCCAUUUAUUGCUCUAAUUAUUAUAUUAAAAUAUUAUGUGAAAUUUAAUAAAAUACAAAACUCAUAAAAUUAUAUGUGAAAAAAAUUUAAUUCAAAAUAACCACAAAAUGACAUUUGACAAAUUGAAUAAGAGUGUCACAGGUGACAAAAAAACAUUUACUUAUUAGAGAUGAUUGUUUAUUAGAUAACAAAGGAUUUAGCAAACGCAAAAGUUGUGUUAAAAGAAUGUGUUAAAAAUUAUAAUUGAGAAAUUAAAUAUCUCCCUAUCUUUUGUUCUUACCAAUUAUUGUAUUCAAUUAAAUGAUGACAUAUGUCAUAUUAUUAUACUAAAAUAUCAUUAAAUUUCAUUAAAUUAGCUAUAGUAACAUAUACAGAUAACCUUUUAUCGUUGUCAAAAAUUUAGUUCCAGCUAGAAACAAAUUUUAAAGAGAAAAUAUUGCUCUAAGAGGCCACACUAUUCCUUAUAAAUCAACCACAUUGUAAAUAAUUUAUCGUUAUUGAAUUAAAAUAUUUUCUAUAAAUAUGUCGUGGAUGCUAAAAUCAUUACCAAUGACAGAUUUUUCUACAAAUAUAUAUUACAUCGUUUUUUUAGAAUUAAAUAUCAAUCACAUGAAUAUUAUAUGGCUACCAUAACUAAACACAUCUACCUAAUCAAAAAUCAACAUAUGUACGUCAUUUGUCUGUUAUGAUUUUUAUUUUAGCUUUUUAGAAAGGCGAUAUUUGUUUUUUUAGUUUUUAACAGUACAAGGCUCUCCCACCAAUUUGCUACCAUGUAUCCUCUAUCUUCACCGUCACCGCCAUAACUAUCAAUUCGACGGAGAUGAUCGUCUCCAAAUUAAGACAUUAAAAGAAGCGACACUAAAUUAACGAAGUUUACUUGUGUCAUAAAAUUAAUAAUAUGGCUCUAGAACAUUUGUAUUAUGGUGAAAUCUUGAUCAUGAAUGAUUAUGUAAUGGCAUUAAAGAAAAUGAUCAGUCCUUUUGGAUAUCUACGGACUAAUGGACUUAUAUCAAUAUAAGGAUGAAAUAUUGUUUGGAAGAGGAAUACACUUGUUUAUUAUUAUUAUUAUUAUUAUUAUUAUUAUUAUUAUUAUUAUUAUUAUUAUUAUUAUGUUUAAUCGAGUCGAGCUGCUGGAAGCUCGACAGUAUUGAGUAUGUCAACAGCUGGAGCUGGAGCUUGGAAAUGUAGGCUCGAGUUCAAGUUAAGUUUUGAGCUUGGCACAACUUGGCUCAUUACAAAGCUUAUAAAUAAUCCAAAUUGGAAACAAUUUAUCGUUAUUGAAUCAAAACAUUUUCUACAAAUGAAUGAAAUGAUGAAGGAAAGUCAUUUAACGAAUGACGAUUUUUCGACAAAAAAUUAUUACAUUGUAUAACUAUAAUCCAAUAUCAACCACUUGAAUAUGAUACGAAUAAUAUAACAAAACGAAGCACAUCUACUUAAUCAAAGAAUCAUAUUUGCAUCACUGCAUGUCGUAUGUUUUAGAAAUAUUUCUUCAUUCUUUUGUAUUUUUUAGAACUGCUUCUGAGAAAUUUAUUUUUUAGUUUUCUACAACCAUCCACCAACUUCUUCGACAAUUUUUCACGCUCGAGACCUCCAUAUUCAUCAUAACUUGCAUUGGAAUGAUCAUCUCCGUAGACAUGAUUCCAACCAGAGGUUUUAAGAAGACGUGGUGUACAGCUGGACAUGAAUGCAGAUCAAUGGCACUUCUCGGCCUUGUUGCUCCUUGCUAUGAGUUGGAACUGAAGAAUUUUCUUUAUUUUCCCAUUGUUUGCCUCUGUUAAUAUAUAUUCAUGGAGAAUGGAGACCAGAAACCCUCCAUGUAGGACUGACGACUUUUCAGUCACAUACUUCCUAGCUACAAGGAAAAUUAUUGGUGCUUUCCUCACGAAUAAAUAAAAAUCAUUUAAAACAUUGGUUUAUCUAAAUCAAGGUUCUAGAGAUCGGACUAAAGUGUGAUUAUUUUCUACAACUAUGAACUGUAUUAUUUUGUAUUAUAGUAGUAGGUUAUAUUAAUUAUAAAUUAAUAAUAUAAUAUAUCGAUGAAUAAUAAAGAUUCCAACAUAAACUUCUUCUCAAAUCUUAUAGGUUCACCGUUUUUUGACAUUAAAGAAUACAUACACAUAACAAAACAAAAUGUAAUAACCAUGAUAAAAAUAACUAAAUAAAAAUGGAAAUAUUUUCUUAUUUGAGUUCCAUGCCUAAACAAAUGUACAAACACGGAAAUGUGAAAAUUAACGGUUCCAUUCGGGAGAGAUGUUGGUGUCAAUUUGUAUUCUCGAUUUACUAAGAGCGUCUUCAGUAUAAUUAGCUGGCAGCGGAUAACUUAUAGCGGGUAGCAGGUAGUUUGUAGUUUGUAGCGUUUUGUUAAACGCUAUAUGAAAUAGCAUUUGAAUUUGAAGCGUUUUGUUUAAACUAAACGCUAGAAGGUUGUAGUGCCAAACAAGGCUUUUUGUUCAAAGCGGAGCGACUUGUCAAAUGUUAGAAACUAGAAGCUCUCAAACGCUUCCAAAAGCUCCGUUCCGAACACGUCCUAAAUGGAUGUGGAAGCAUGGAUGUAUUAUGUGUUCUGGGUAUCUUAAUUUAAUUCCACAUUAAAGACCAAUCAAAAGCCUUUUGGAAUAGGAGGAUUACUGGAGGAAUUUGGAAGUGCGUUUGACCUAGUUUGACCAGUUUACUGACGAAUUUCCGAUGGACACCAUUCCUUAGGGAAUUUGGAAGUGCGUUUGACCACCAUUCUCACGGAUGUUCCAUCGCUAAUUUGUUCUGUUAAUAAUUGUAUCACCAAUAUUUUUGGGCUGAUUCUUAACAUUUUUGGGCUGAUUCAUUCACUUUGUAAGUUCGAAAAUAUCAUGCAAGAUAGUUAAAUCCAUGUGUUACAAGUGAUAGUCAUAAAACAUGAACAAAUGGCAAAUUUGAAGAUUUUAUCGUUUUUUUUUUCUUUUGGAAAGGGAACUUCCCUAAUGAAGGUUUCCACGUCAACUUUUGCGCACCGAUUAAGCCCAUGCAAACAUAAAACAUUGAUUCACUGUAAGUGAAUCUUCAUGGCCACAGGGGCUGAGUAGCGUCAGCAUUUGAAUAUGAAUCAAUAGGUUAUCCACCAUAUCUUUCACAAGUCAUACCAAAUCACCACAAUCCAGAUGGUUAAGUUUUUAUAGUUCUUAUUGACACUUUAAAUAGAAUCUUGAGGAAUUUACUUUAUAAGUUUUACAUUAAAAUAUUUUAAAAAAACGUUCGAAUUAGUAAGAUUAUAUAGUUUUGUUAAGAAAUUAAUUAUUUAUCAACAUCAUUUUUAGAUAGGAGUUAAUUUUAAAAUAUGUCAUGUGUUAUUAUUAUGACUAUACAUAACUAACCGCACGAGUAAACAAAUUAGGAGUUUAUUAAAAUAAAAUUUUGAAUCAGGGCUAGUACACAGGAGACGGAAUACAUGUUUACAUCAAUGAUAUCAUAUUCGGAAGACCCAUUUUCUUUUGAUCAAGUCCAACUAUUUUUAAACUUGUAGUAUUAAUUGGUCUUUUGGUAUACUUCCAACUAUUUUUAAAAUUGUAGUAUUAAUUGGUCUUUUGGUAUACUUUCAUGGUAAAAUUAGUCUCCAUCGUUAACAUCCAUCAAAUUGAUUUUGUUAAUGUGCCACUCACGUAAAGAUAUUUAUGUCUAGGGGCAAUUUUGCAAUUUACUCUAAUAAAUUUAGGAUUAUUAACAUAGAUGCACAAUAAUAUUUUUCAUUUGGUUUUAAAAUGUCUUUCAACUCAUUUUCGUAUCUGUGAUCCCACUAAAGUGACAAAUUAUUUGUCAUUUAUACCAUGAGAGCCGGUCACCCGGUAAUUAAAUGUGAUGUGGCCUUUAGACUUUCGAUUUCUUCAAUUAAAUGAUAUCUCAUCAAUGACACGUCAACUUUGCCUUUGUAUAAUUGUUCAAAAAAUAGAUUUACUCCAGUCGUUUAUCAAAGUCGUGUUGAAGUGUUCAAGAUUCUAGGGCUUUUCUCUCACAGUUCAGUAAGUUUUCUCUCAUCUAGGGUUCUUUUGUAGUUAAAAUUCAUGGCGAACCGGGACCUUAUUUUCUUCAAAGUGCAUUUGCACUAUAACGAUGUUUUUACAAGGCACCCACAUAGAUAUAUUGGAGGUGAUACGUUCAUGUUUACUGAUCAUGAUUUCUCUAGAAUGGAUUUAUAUGGGUGUUGUGAAUUUCUUGAAAGGUUUAUUGGAGAACCUUUUGACAAACUUUUUUUACUUAGCACAUGAUCAAACUAUAGCAAAUGGACUUACAGUAAUCGCCAAUGAAAUGGAUUAUCAAGUGUUUAUCGAUGUUGCUUAUCAAUCACCUAAAAGGCCAACAGACCUGUAUUUAGAUCAUAUUGGAAAACGAUUUGAGGAUUGGUUCGUUGAAGGAAGUGAUGAAAUGGUUCAGUCAUCCAGGGGGAUGAUAAAGAACCUUCACAAGGAAUCUCCGAUCCUGAAGCAGCCUAUAUGUUUGGUGGUUGUUUGGAAGAUGAAAUCACUGGGGAAUACUAUACCCCUCUAAACAACACCUAGGACGAUGAGUUUCUUAACAAGUUAUGCCACAAGGUGGAGAAGAGAAAAAGGUUGAAGAAAUAGAGAAUAGUAAGGAAUUGGAAAAUGAUGUAGUUGAGGAUAUCCUAUCUUUAAUCCUCAGGUAUACUGGAAGAAGCAAGUACCAAUUUUAGGCACGCGAUUUGAGAAUCCAAAACAGCUUAAGAGUAUCUUAUGCAAUUCUGUUGUUAAGAAUGGCUAUCAACUAUGGUUCGAAAAGAAUGACAGUAAGAGGCUUCUAGUAUUGUCUUGUGAAGGUGCUUGUACAUUCAAGCUAUGGGCAAGUUGGAUAAGUACAUAACACAGUGUUCAAAUCAAAUUUUUAAAAAGUGAGCAUCAAUGUGCUAGGAACUACAAAUUGGGUUCAAAUAUAAAUUGUCGAUGGAUUGGUAGCCACUACACCAAGGAGAUGUUGCAUAGACAGAAAUUGACAAUUAGGCAACUAAGAUUGGAGGUCAUUAGGAUAUUAGGUAUUGAUGUUAGUAUUAGCCAAUGCACAAUGGCCAAACAGUAGGUUAUUAAUAUUAUGGAAGGUACCCUUAUAGAGCAUUAUGCUAAGCUCCGGUCUUAUGGAGAGGAAAUUAGAAGAUCCAAUCCUAGUUCAACAGUCAGCAUGGACGUACUUAUAAUGCAAGAUGGAACUAAUCACUUUAGUAAGUAUUGUGUUUGUUUUGAUGGUGUAAAGAAAGGGUGGUUAUAAGGGUGUAGGAAUGUGAUAAGAAUUGAUGGUUGCUUCUUGAAAGGGUAUGUUGCUGGUGAGUUGCUUUAUGCUGUGGGGAGAGAUGAUAGGGACUAAAUAUGCCCAAUUGCUUGGUUACUGGUAUGUUUUGAAAACAAGGAAAACUGGAAAUGGUUUCUAUCAUUGUUAAGUGAUGAUCUCAAUCUUGGUAUGGGACAAGGUUUAAAUUUUAUGUCAGACCAACACAAGGUAAGCAAAACAUUUUAUUAUUUCUCAUUCACAAAGUAUAUUACCUAAUUUAUUUCUAACUACUUGUAUGUCUGUAUAGAUUCUUAUGGAAGCAAUCAAGGAAUUGUUACAACAAGCUGAGCAUAGGCAAUAUACAAGGCACAUUUUGGCCAACUUCAGUAAAAAGUUUACAGUGGCACAGUUUGUUAACUUAUUUUGGUCUGGAUGUAAUGCAAAAACAGAACAGUCUUCAAUGAAAUAAUGAAGGAUAUUAAGCUUAUGAUUCCAAAGGCCAAUAACUACUUGAUAGAGAAGAACCCUAGAACAUGGUCAGGAGCUUACUAUCAAGUUGGUAGAUGCUGUUCUAGUGUGGAGAAUAGAGGAUGUGAAAAUUUCAAUGCAGUCAUAGUUGAAGCCAGGAAGAAACCUAUUAUCACAAUGCUUGAAGAAUUGAGAAUGUAUAUGAUGAACAAGCUGUUCACAACAAAGCAUAAUGGAUGGUUAAGUGAUGUUUCAUCUGAAAUAAGGCUGCGGUUAAAUGAGUUAAAGGUUAAUCGAAGGUUUUGGGAGGUAUUGCCAUAUGGACUCAACCAGUUUGACACUAGGUCAGGAAGUGUGUAACAUCCCAAUUUUCAAGACCAAAAAUUUCAUUUUAGAUAUGUUACUUAUAAAACAAUUUACUGAAAAACAUCAUCGAUAUCAUAUCAACCGAAGAUCUCAUAAGCCAAAUGAAUUAAAACAUGUCGUGGAAUAAUAAUAACAUCAUAGUACAAUCCCAAGAGUAUCAUAGUGCAAAAAUCAUGUGUGUGUGUGAUGUGCAGCUACCACACCGACUCCUUCCCCUUCGCUGAAGAGGUACCUGAAACAAAACUGAAAAUUCUAAGCACGAAGCUUAGUGAGUUCCCCCACCAUACCACAUACAACAUAACAUACAUACUGCCGAACAAUUCUGGGGUGCCCGACCUACCAUGUCCGGCCAUUCUGGGGCGCCGACCUAUCCUGUCUGGAAAUUCUAGGUUGCCGACCAACCCUGUCUGGCAAUUUUGGGGUGCCGACCUACCCUCCGAUUUAUCCCAACCGGCUACAGGGACCAUUUCACCCCUACAACUACCAUAUAAUAAUAUAGCAUAGACAUACUGUCAGACAUAUUUGGGGUGCCCGACCUACCAUGUGGUCCUUACGACCGUAACUCGGGGUCUAUUCCCCUACUGCCUACUAUCACAUAACUGAUGGAUUUUAGCAAUAAGAACAUCCUAUGUGCUCAUGCAAACCCUAAUGCUUGGAUCUAGGUUUCUCUAUUGUACAUGCAAUGUAUCCAAGACUUACAAUCUUAGAUCUAACAUAUUAUAAACUGAAUUAGGGUUUAUAGAAUUACCUUUGAUUGUUAUGUAGCAAUACCAAUCUCAAAUCCUCCUUGUGAUGACUUUAGAAAGCUUAGAGUCACAAGUGUCACUCCUCUAAUGGCUUACAAACACCAAGAGCAAGAGGAUGAAGAAUAAGGAGAAGGGAGGCUGCCCAAAAUCGUCCAAAACCCUAGAGGAACUCAUAGCCACGUUUUUGGGGCUUAAGGGUACUAUAUAUACAUGUAGGCUUUUAGGGUUUUAAACUAGGAAACCCUAAUCUGGCUGCUUAAGCCCUAAGCAGCCCAUGGAUUCCAUUGGAAUAUCCAUUGGAUGAUUUCUAAUGGGCUUCCCCAUAGAAUUCGUCCAACAUAUAUCUUAUUAUGUAAUCCAUAGCCCAAAUGUAAUUAUCUUAUAAUUACAGUUCCAGUCCCUUAAGUUUAAUUAAUCUCUUUUAGCCACAAAAUUAAUUAUCAAUUAAUUCUUGACUAAUAUUAAUUAAACAAUAUGAUUUCUCCUUUAAUAUAUUAUUCUCAUAAUAUAUUAAUAAAUCAUAAUUAAUCCUCUCUCUCCAUAAUUCAUCCUAUCAAGUUGCUUUGGUGAAGGCAACCCAAAAGGACCAUGCACCAUCGGGUCAAGUACAUACCAAAAUAGUUAUGGACUUAGACACUAAUCCAACAGUCUCCCACUUGGAUAAGUCUAAUAACUAUUCUGCGUAUGACUUCAGAUCCUGAUCUGCAAUCGUAGCUUUCAAAAGUCGCUGUCAACUCUGAUCUUAUCAGAUACGCGUGUCCUUUAGAUAAGGGAUCAUAUAUUCCUCCAUUCUAGAUAUCGUAUAGACUGAGACAUGGAUUUAAAUCAUUCUCUCUGUCUAUGUGUUGUUUCCCGAUUUCCGAUUUAUGACGACUGACAACAGACUACAAUUGAACACAUCAAAUUAGUCCCGGCUUGGCCAAGCGCUUAGGUGUCAUCACUAAAUCAUCGAGGGGCCCACAGAUAUCGCUUUCAUCCCACUUUGGAUAAAAGGAACGGAUAAACUUUGAUUCAAUGCUUGCUUGCACUCACUUACUGAAUCACACACAACAAUAUGUUUUAUAACACCAAGUUACUGGUGCGUUUACAUAUUAUCAAUGUGUAACCGACUCGCAAGAUACAACUCACACAUCUCGGUUUCAAGAAUAUAAGAUAUUAUCGUCUCACCAAUCACUCGUGAUAAAAUCCAUGAAGUGAUCCAAGUGAGCGUGGGUUUAAUCCAAUGCUCAAAUCAUAUUCAUAAGCACUCAUGAACGUUGCAACAAACAUUUGCUUAUGUCUAAUACACUUUAGACAAUCCACACACCAAUUCACGACAGUCUUCAUUCAUACCUACUUCCAACAUAUGAACGACUGUGGUCCGUUCGAAUAAUUCGAUUAUUCUGAAAUAAUUAAUUAUUCAGGAAGUUAAAACAUGCAAAGUGAAACACAAGAAUAUUACUAAGCCUAUAUGGUCCCAAACCCUUGAGUAUAAAUAAAAAACCUUUUAUUUAUCACCAUAUCGAUUACUCAUUAUUUGUUGUUUCGGGUAAUCAACUUCUUACUUGAAUUUUUACUACACUUGUCCCAUGCUCUCAGCAUGCACACAAAGUUUACCUAUGGUCCUUACUUUGUGAAAUAGAUCAAAUGAACACAUUUCCAAUCAUACUCAUUUCACAACUCACAAUCCUUAUCAUAAGUAUAAGAAUAUCAAAUUCUUGUUACUUAUGCUAGAUUCUAACAUUUUAUGCAAUGAUUCUUUCAUAAAGUCGUAGCUCAAAAGCAUCAAGAUUUGGCCAAUCUCUAUCUGAAACAAUUCUAUAGAUAUGAUGUCUCUCACUAAAAGUACAUUACUUUAAACAUCCUUCUAGCAUAAAAGUUUAUAAUCUAGACAUAGGUUCUCAAUAUCCAACUCCCAAUAUGGAAACCUUUCCAUAUUUGCCAUAUGACUACUCAUUCUUAAUAGAAUCUUAUCUAUUCAUAAUAAUGUCGAUAUGUUCCAUCCAAUACCAUACUUCUAACUACUCACAAGCGACCAAUCCUUAGCGAGCUUUGGAUCGUCCUUUGAUAGUUGUUUAAUUAUUGUAGGGUUUCAAAGCACUCCAUGGAUGAUGGCAAUGGGCUCCUUUGAUGAAGUGUAAGUUAAAAGCCCAAGACUUCUAUUUUCCCUAUAAAUGGUCAUGUAUUAUUCAUUAUUAGGUUAUGAGUGAGGCAAAAUGUAGCCGCCACACGAGGUUUCUUAUGUAGUGUUAGAUUCUUUAGUCUAUGCUGAAAGUGUAAUUUAUUCCUCAUGUUUUGAAUAAAUCGAGUGAUCAUUCGACAUAUCUUCUUUAUUUGUGUUGGUUCUUAUUUUCCACAUCUUGUUCAUCAAAUCACAAUUAGGGUUUCAAUCCCAACAAGUGGUAUCAGAGCGGGUCUUUGAAAAUCUAUUGAUUUUUGAAGUAUCGGUUCUUGAUUUGAUGAUUUUCUACAAAAGUUUAUUGAAGAUUUUGGUGUUCGGGUGGUUUGGAAACAAGUUUUUUUUGAUCCACUGUUCAUAGAGAAUUAUGUAUGCAAUUAUUGUUCAUGUCCUGUUCAUCAGGGUAAUUUUCUUUUAAUCCAAUCUGUUUCAUGCUCGUAUUUUUGAUCUGAUCUUGAUCAAUUGUUUUGUCCAAAAUAAAUUGGUUCCUUCGUGGAUUAAUUUCUUUUGUUUUGUCCCUAUUAUUCCGUCACUGUUCAUGGUUCAUAUGUCUAUUGUCGAUCCAGGUUUUCUUUGUCCCUAAUAUUAUACUUGAGUUCCUGUGUGCGUCAUCUGCUUUAUGUAUCGAUUACGAUUACUCAGUUCAUCCGGUUAUUUGUUCUCUCAAGUUCAAUCAAGGUUAAUAAUCGCUGCUUAUAUCAUUAUCGACUAAAGGAUAUUGAUUUGUCUUCAUCAAUUAUGAUGAAUUUAUUUCUGUUUGAUUCUAUCCAAGUUCAUAAUUUUCAUUGAUUUACUUGUUCCCGUUCUUACUGUUGAUUUGAUUUCAUUUGUUUCUUGUUGAACUUUAAAAUUAUUGAUGAUCUCUGGAUGAAAUCGAUCUAAGAAGUAUUGACUUGGUGUUGGUUGAACGUAAUUUCUAGGGUCAUAUGAUGAACUGUGUUGAAUCUCAAUUUGAAUGGUCAAAUAGAAAAGUCAAAAUUGGAGUUAUAGAUUUAUGAGCGGUGCUGUCAUUUUUGAGUGUAAUCGGAUAUGAAGGCUGAAUCGAUUUGCUAAUGAUAGUCGGUCUCUUUGUUGUUUAUCGUGAUUCUGGACUAUGGCUUCUAUUCAAACUCGAUGGGUCAAAGGAUAAAGUCAAAAUUGACCGUGGUUUAGGGUGAAUAAUGAGCGAACGCUAAACCUGAGAACGUUUGCCUCUGAUAGAUUCGUUUUUGUGGAUUCUCUUUGGGGUAUAAUCGACGGACCUGAAACGAACUUGGGUUCGCGCGUUUAUGCUUGGAACAAAAGACGGGAGGACCAAAAGCGAACCUGUGAUUCGGUUUGGCUAAGGUUUCGCUUUUGUCAUGAAAUCGGAUUUGCUUGUGAUGCUCGGACCGAACAUGGUUUCGUUUUUGUAUCAUCAAUUUUGGAAUGAAAGCACUUGGAACGAAAGGGGGGAGAUUCACUUUGGGUGUACUUGGAACGAACGGUGACACUAUUGGACUCGGAUUCGGAGUCCCAGUAGGCACGAACAUCAGCGACAGAACGAAAGGAUCGAACAAUGUUAUUGGUUGAUUGGAAUCGGGCUUGAGGUUUCGUAUGCGAACAAUAAUUUCAAUCACCAUUCUAGUGGUUCUUUUUAAUCAGACGUCUUAUUGGGGAUGAAGAUAUUAAGUUACGUUUUUGGUCCCUAAAACUUCAAUGAUAUGAAACUUUUGAUCCUUGUUGUUUUCAAGGUUUGGCAUUCUUGGACCAUUCCAGAUUUUGUAACAAAUAAAGGGGAAUAUGGUGUAGAAUUAUUAAUUUUGUCCCCUGAAUUUCAGAAAAGUGACGGUUUCAACCCAUUUUUCGAAAAGUUUGCAAAUUUGAGGGCUGGUGAACCGUUUUGGAUUUUUUAAUGCACAUAUUUUUUUCGUGAACAGAAAAUUAUGGAUUCCAUCAAGUCUUGGCGGUUCGGAAAGUCGUUUUUCGUGAUAAUGAAAAUUUUUUACGACUUUUUCGGAUUUUAUACUUCAUUGUAUAUAUCAUUUUGUCGUGGGGGAGCACAGUAAUUUCUAUCUAUUCAAGAUCAUACUCAUGACCAUAAAAGGAUUUAUAAUCACGUUUUCGAUUAUAAAUUGGGGGAGAAUUUGGUAUGGCCAUUCGAAAUUUGGAUUUGUGACUUUUCAAAGUUGAAGAUUUUUGAUCAAGUUUGUGGUAGAAUUAUGAAGGUAGCUUUUACAGUGGAAGUUCUUCAUCGAGCUCUGCUAAAGCUUUUACAGAGAAUUAUCCUUUACAGCGGAAGUUCUUUAUCGUGCUCUGCUAAGGACUUGUUAUAUCUCCGACUUCUAGUUUUUUCUCGAUCAAGUGGCAUUACGACUCUUAAAGUUUGGGUUGUCACAUGACUUUUUUGAUGGCUUAUAUCAUUAGCUUAUUUGAAGAUCAUUGUGGCUUGGAGGGGGAGUUCUUCAAAGACAAUAAGUGAUUCGAUAUCUUUGUUCUGAAAUGGGUUUUUAUGGCGGGUUUGGUUUUCAUGAAGAUUUUUUUUGGGAUUACAUUCGAAAAUGAAGUUUAAAGACAUUACUUCAGUGCUUGGUUUAUAUAUCCUAGAGCCCGUGUUUGAAGACUAUUGAAGAAUCAAGAUUCGUGGAUUGCUUCAUAUAUUCCUUGUUGCAAGAUCUUUUUAUUCGCUAGAUGCUUGUUUUGGAAGAUAAAGCAUUGUCAUCCAUUCCAUACUUUGAGGGGGAGAUUGCAGGGUUUCAUAGCACUCCAUGGAUGAUGGCAAUGGGCCCCUUUGAUGAAGUGUAGGUUAAAAGCCCAAGACUUGUAUUUUCCCUAUAAAUAGUCAUGUAUUAUUCAUUAUUAGGGUUAUGAGUGAGGCAAAAUGUAGCCGCCACGCGAGGUUUCUUAUGUAGUGUUAGAUUCUUUAGUAUAUGCUGAAAGUGUAAUUUAUUCCUCAUGUUUUGAAUAAAUCGAGUGAUCAUUCGACAUAUCUUCUUUAUUUGUGUUUGUUCUUAUUUUCCGCAGCUUGUUCAUCAAAUCACAAUUAGGGUUUUAAUGCCAACAAUUAUCUUAGUCAAAAACCGAUUCAUGUCCUUUUUCCCUCUUAAUGCGCUAGACAUUUGGAAAAUUUUAGAAUGGUUAAAUAUUAUAGCAUUUGCAAUCGAUCCUAUACCCGAAGCGUAUGGGACACGGUGCAUAAUGUCUUACAUAAAGAUCUUAUACUUUAUCAAUCUUCUGCCAUAAUAUUUUAUGUGUUUUGUUCUUACAAUUCGAACUAUGAAGAGGGAUGCCAUAAUCAUAAUCGAAAUUUAAUACGACACUAUGUAUCCUUGACUAAAUUUAUUAACAUUCCACAACCUAAGCCUUUAGAUUUGAAAUGAAGCAUAAUAUUCUCUCCCUUAAUUAUAGUAAAAAAACUUUUCAACCCUUGCGACUUUGCAAAGUAGAACUCUUGUUUUCUAUAAUUAAUAUUGCUAACUUGCAAUACUUGCCGUAAUAAUCAUACAAGCAAAACUUUUAUGCUCCCACUAUCAUGAUGAUUAUUAUCAUAUAAGCAUAACACUUAUGCUCCCACUAGCUUUGACAUGUAUUCAGAAACCAACUUAACUUCCAGAAAAAACAAUACCUAUUGAAUUUCUUAAGUUCAUAUUUCUAAUACCUAAUGCUUUGAUAAUCCUUUAUCUAAGCUUAUACACCUUUGCCUUAGAUAGCUCAUGUGUUUGUCUAACCAAUUCAUACUAAUUGCCAAAACUCACAAUUCGAAUCAUGGAAAGGGAUACCGUAACGAUAAUCGAAUUCGAGAAUCCAAUUUUCACAAUCACUAUCUUCUUAAAAUCUCUCUUAGUGAAAGCAUUUCCUACAGUCAUUUUCAUGAAGGAGAGAAUCUUAUGACACUUCGAUUUUAAUGGUGUAUGUGUUCCUAUCCAUGUGAAUUUGUUAAAACCAAAAUUUACGACAAAUUCAAACUCAUAUGGACCGAACCUUCUCAAUCUUGAUUUCUUGCCUCAUGGUAACACUAGUGCCCACCAUGUCUUCCAAGUAGUUAAGCAACUCACCCUUUGCUAUCAAUGUACUUUCCAUUGAUCAUGGUGCUUGCCUUUUAUGUGUUCAAAUGAGAACUUAUAGAACUCAUACGCAUAAUUAACUCAACUGGAAUGGCACAGAAACAAGAUAGUGUCAACACAAUAGUUUGUGAACCUCAGGUCGUGUGCUAGUGAUGAUGGAUGAGGUUUAUUCUUGAUUAGUUCUUGAACUUUUCAAGACCAUUAAGACUCCCACUAACUCCUUGACAUAUAAGAUUCUCUUGUCAAUAAAAAUUUCUCGACAAACAAAUAUUUAAGAGUUAGUGUAGAUUUUAUCAAGACAAAACACUUCACAAAACUGGUCCUAGUUGGUCUUUGUCUUAUCCGAGACAUCACAACUUUCCAAUUUCAAAUGUGCGUCAAUAAGAAAACCUUUUUCAAUUCCACAUUUGAUGAAUGUUAUAAACCUUCUUAAGAAUUGUCACUCAAUGUCACAAUCUUAACUCUAAGACUUGUUUUUGGAACGAAGUAUGAUUGACUUUUUGAUUUAACAAAUUUUUUCAAUUCUUGAUUCCUUUUCUCAGACAUAAAAUUUCCCUAAGACUCACUUAGAGGAUCAAUUGAGAUAUGGUUCUUAAUCAUUAAGAGUUAUCAUAAAACAUAAAAAGUACUCUCCCUUCUUCUUAAAAUAGAGAAACUUUUAUCUUUCUGGCGACUUGAUUCUUCUUAUUCGUUCUGCUAUUGAUUUAAAUUCUUUCAAUCAACUCGGAAUUACACUUAAUCUUAUAAGUAUAAACAUAUUUACUAAACCUUUAGUAAAUCAUGACGAAUAUCUUUGUUACUCUUGUGGUGGACUUGAUCAACACAUAACUUUGUGUACUCGAUCUCCUAGUCCUUCACUUGACACUUUGUCAACGAAUUAGUUUAAUUUCCAAAUAUGAAAUUUCUCAUUCAUCAUGCAACCAAGUUGUAUGAUUCCAACUUUCUGUCCAAUUGAAAAUUGGACGAUGAGAAACUUUCAUUAUUUGGUAAAUUCUUGACCUUUCCACAAAUAACAUAAUUAAGAAUCAAAUCCAUUUUUCUAAUAAUAGAAACAUUCAAAACAUCAAUUUUUUUUCUUACACGCCAUCGCAAGGAUAAAAUAAUAUAAAAUCAAAAUUUUAUUUUAUUGCAGAAAAAUUUGUCCUUACAACGCAAUUCUUUGAAAAACUAUGCUAAUACAUAUUUCUUAGCAAUCUUACUCUAACUCCAAGUAGUAGCUCAAGAAUCUAGUCUUCCAGUAAUGUGAUUGAAAUCCAUUUCUUCAUGAUUAGAUUCUGCUCACUUCUUCCAUUAAGUUUCCUCUCUUUUCUUCGAUUCUACAAAACAUCAAAUGUAAUCUUAUCACAUCAUGUAUUAAGAAUCUACAAUAGGAACUUAAAAGAGUUAGUUAAUAGAUUUUACCUAAAUUAGAGCCAUACGUUUUGACUCUCCCAUCUCUUAGAUCUCUUAGGUAAAUAGGGUAGCUUCGUCUCCAAUGCCCCUUCUCUUGGCAAUAAAAGCAAAUUGACUCUUUUGGAACAACACAUGGAAUUACUUCAGACUUUGCCUUUUCUCUUAUGAUCAAACUUUUCGAUCAUGGAAUGCCUUUCGUUGCCAUUGCCUAUAUCCAUAGAGGUCUGGAAGGCAGAUUCACCAAUCAACUUUGCUUUUCCAGUGCGCCAAACCAUCGCUGAUUCAGCAGCAAUAAGCAUGUAGGUGAGAUCUAUAAGGGCCACAUCGUGGUUCAUCAUAUAGUACUCUCUUACGAACUCACUAUACGAGUUAGGAAGUGACUGAAGAACCCAGUCAACAGCCAGCUCCUAACAGACAAUGGAUCCCAACAUUCUUAACCUAUCAAUGUGUGACUUCAUCUCUAGGACGUGUGCACACACCGACUUUCCUUCUUCGUAUUUACUUGCCAAAAGGGCUUGUGUGAGCUUGAACUUUUCAAGACUUCGAACUUGUGGGUUAGGGAGACUAAUUGGAGGAGGUGGAGGAAGUGAAGCAUGAUGUCUUGUUCCUCGAUCGAAUCGUGGAAUAUCAUCUUCAUGUGGAAAGCUUGUUUCACGAGAUUUGGGAAUACCAUAGUUGUCAUACUUUGACAUCUACAAAACGGGAGAAAGCAAAUUCAAGUUAGUUGAUUGAUUGAGUCCUUAAUAAAUCACCCAAAUGAGAUAUUAAGGCUAGGACCCAACACAAUAUGCGACAACCUAGAAAAGGGAUGCGGUAAUCUAGUUGCAGAAUAUUUGAAGGUAGGUAAAUGAUGAUUUAACAAUUUCCACCAUGAAAAACGAAAAAGAAAUUUAAGUUUUUAAAUCUAUGAAAACUCCUAGAUCCUUUGAGAUUCAUUGAACUUUUCAAUGGCAUGUUUAAAUCUCGAUAUGCCCCUCUAGUUUGUGACUGGGAUACCGAGGAUCACAAAGCGGGUGUGAAUAACCAUGCAAACUUACAUGGUGCCCACACAUGUUAUAGUCACCUAUUCGAUGUGCCAGUUAACCACACACGCUCCACCAAACUAUGAAAAACAUUGAGUCACCCUUUUCUACCUUUGCUUAGAAUCAUUUAGUGUGCCGGUUAACCACAUACGCUCCACUAACGUCUUCGCAAGGGCACAAAGUGUAAUUUCAUGGAAUUGCAUCAAUUCACUUUUGCCUAAAGUAACUAAUAAUCUUGUGUUUUGGAAAGGAUAAUCUUUUAGAAACAAUAAAAAUCGUAUUUUAUAGGUUUAAAACGAAGAUUGUAAUUAUCCUUAAGCAAAACAGCAACAAAAUCCGAAAUUCCCUCUGUCUGACGCUCCGACUCGCCGAGUCACACAUUGGAACUUGCCGAGUAGGGUGGACUCGCCGAGUCAGUUCGAACAGAAGGCCAUAAUUUCAUUUUCAGUUAAUAAUUCAACAUAGCAUCACAUACAACAGAAACCAAUCAAGGCUCUGAUACCACUGAUGGGUUUUAGCCAUAAGAACAUCCUAUGUGCUCAUGCAAACCCUAAUGCUUGGAUCUAGGUUUCUCUAUUGUACAUGCAAUGUAUCCAAGAGUUACAAUCUUAGAUCUAACAUAUUAUAAACUGAAUUAGGGUUUAUAGAAUUACCUUUGAUUGUUAUGUAGCAAUAACAAUCUCAAAUCCUCCAUGUAAUGACUUUAGAAACCUUAGAGUCAGAAGUGUCACUCCUCUAAUAACUUACAAACACCAAAAGCAAGAGGAUGAAGAAUAAGGAGAAGGGAGGCUGCCCAAAAUCGUCCAAAAUCCUAGAGGAACUCAUAGCCACAUUUUUGGGGCUUAAGGGUACUAUAUAUACAUGUAGGCUAUUAGGGUUUUAAACUAGGAAACCCUAAUCUGACUGCUUAAGCCCUAAACAGCCCAUAGAUUCCUUUGGAAUAUCCAUUGGACGAUUUCUAAUGGGCUUCCCCAUAGAAUUCGUCCAACUUAUAUCUUAUAGCCCAAAUGCAAUUAUCAUAUAAUUACAGUUCUAGUCUCUUAAGUUUAAUUAAUCUCUUUUAGCCACAUAAUUAAUUAUCAAUUAAUUCUUGACUAAUAUUAAUUAAACAAUAUGAUUUCUCCUUUAAUAUAUUAUUAUCAUAAUAUAUUAAUAAAUCAUAAUUAAUCAUCUCUCUCCGUAAUUCAUCCUAUCAAGUUGUUAGUGAAGGCAACCCAAAAGGACCAUGCACCAUCGGGUCAAGUACAUACCAAAAUAGUUAUGGACUUAGACACUAAUCCAACAAUAACAUUGUAGCAUAUAAUCCUAAUUGAUAUCAUCAAACCAAAUAAUUAUCACGAAUACCAUUAUCUCCACUAUGUCUGUUACUAGUGGGCCGGCUUUGGUGCCUUAGACCCACUUCUACUGGAAGGUAACUCACCUCGAUGUCGUAAAGUGUCUGAACUUUCCUGGCUGCCGAAAUCAACCCCUCUCAGGUCCUAUUCAUAAUAAUCUUCCUUAAUUACCAUUUCUUGGUCAACUCAAGUCAAAGACAAAGACAAGGUCAACACCUUGGUUAAAGUCAACUCUAGGUCAAAGUCAACGUCCAGUUGAGUCAACUCGAUGAGUUGCCCCACAACUCAUCGAGUUCUGAAAUCGUGAAAAUGCCAAGACUUCGACCCUACUCGUCGAGCCUUACGAGAAAUUGUUGAGUUCUCCUUUAAACAAAGUUGGGACCUUCUACGAUCUGACUCGCCGAGUUCAUCCUUGAACUUGCCAUGUUCAUCGUCAUAUGGUUAGGAGAUUACCUUGAACUCGCCAAGCUCAUCCUGGAACUCGUCGAGUACAUUGAUCUUCAGGUUCCUUACAAACCCAGAUGCCCGAGUCUUCUUCCGAGUCAACACACCACUCGAUAUCAGAAGGGUUUGGGGUAAAAUAAGACUCGACUCACCGAGUCCGAAAAGCAACUCGCUGAGUCCCUCUAUGUCCAAAACUAUACAGUCAGUUUCAGAUGGUUUAAAAGCACCCAAAACACAGAUCUGACCUCCUAGGGUCCAUAUUACACCCAAAACACCCCUCUCAGGUCCUAUUCAUAAUAAUCUUGCUUUGUAAUUGAAGUGUGAGAGGUCCUAUGGGGAUAUGGUACCUAGAUCUGGACCUUAGCAGGUCCAGAGAGUCCCAAAUGCCAUGCUUUAUGACCUUCCUUUUGGGUUGGAGACUAGGGUUGCCAUCUUAGAGGUCAUUUCUUCAAAAAGAGCCUUGUAGGUGUUACAUGGUAGCCAAGACUGUGACUUUACGUGAUGAAUGAGCUUAGGAGGGCAAAAUCUAUGAGUUGAUGGAGCGGAUCUGACCUCAGAAGCGAGAUUGAGUUGAUGAAUAGCAUGGACUCGCCGAGUCCGAAGAACAGACUCGGCGAGUAGUGUGAAGAUUGUCCUUAACCACUCAGCGAGUGGUCCAGCCGAGUUCUGGGUUGACUCGGUGAGUUAGGGAGAGUUAGAGAGGGUUGACAGGUGGACUGAGUCGAGCUGGAACUCGCCGAGUUGUUCCUGAGACUCGGCGAGUUGAGUCGUGGUGGCCCCACGAUUCAUGCCAGGUGGAACUCGUCGAGUCAGGGGAGUACUCGACGUGUCAAGAGAGGAUCCUAGGGAGUCAGUGAACACGUAUAGACUCGCCGAGUCGCCCUAGUGCACUCNGUGUUGAUUCGAUAAGGGUAGUCAACCUUAGUGGUAAAAGUGUUAAUUAGAGAUAUAUGAUGUUAUAGGAGGAUUAUAGCUCGGAGGAUCGAGCACGAGUGAUUUCCAGGAUUCGCGAGUUAUCGAGAUAUACGAGGUGAGUCUUCUCACUAUACUUUACCUUGAGUAGGUAAUCAGAGUUAUGUGACAGAGUAUGUGUAUGUUAUAUGUAUGUUAUGUGUUGUACUGCAUGAUGUCUAUGUGAUUUAUGCUGUGCAUGCUUAUAGAGUUGGAACCGGAAGGUUCCCAGAGUUAGAACCAGUGGGUUCACAGAGUAGGGUCUACGGAUCCACAGAGUUAUAGCCUCGAGUGGCUAAUAUGUGUUAUGUGUGGUAUUUUGGGGAAGUCACUAAGCUUCGUGCUUACAAUGUUAGUGUUGUUUAUUUCAGGUAUUAGUGACGACCGUGGGAAGGCGCCAGCUUGAUCUGUACAAACGCAUGAGAUUUUUAUGAUAUGUGAUCUUGGGAUUUUGUAUGAUGUGAAUUAGAGUUUUGAACUUGAUGUUUUAUGAAAAUUAAAUGAAUUUUUUUUUUAUAUUUUGCGAAAAAUUAUUUUGAAAUUCACGGUGUUACAAAAGCCGUUGUCGAACUCUGGCCUAGUCAAUGACGCGUCCAUUAGAUAAAGGAUCAUAUAUGCCUCCAUUCUUGAUAUCGUAUGAACUGAGACAUGGAUUCUAAUCAUUAUCUCUGUUCAUGUGUUGUUUCCCGAUUUCUGAUUUAUGACGACCGACUAAUUGAACAAAUCAAAUCAGUCCAGGAUUAGCCAAACGGUUAGGGUUGUCAUCACUAAAUCAUUGAGGNNNNNNNNNNNNNNNNNNNAUAUAUAUAUAUAUAUACUAGUAGGGUACCCGCGCGAUGCGGCGAUGCAAGAUAGUUCCUUACGACAAAUUGUUUUAUGCGGCGGUUGGUUUCAUUUUCAUGUAGAUAGUUGGUUUCAGCCUUUUAGCGGAUUGUUUUGUGUGGGAUAGUUAAUUUCGGCAAAUAGUUUCUAGCUAGGUACGUGUAGACAUAGGAGCAUGAUAGUUUCUAAUGCGACGUGGUUUUUAUUUUACGAUUAAAUUAAAUUUAAAAUGUAUGUAGCGGUCUUCAAUGCGGGAUCGAUGAAUAGGUUCGAAUGUCAAUUAGUUUCAUUUAUUAAAUAAUGAAUAGUUUAUUUUUAAAUGUAUUUUUCUUUUCGACGAUUGAUUUUUUUGUAGUUAUUAAUUUUUAUUAUGGAAAUUGGUUUUAUUUGGUGAUUGGUUUGGAUUCGAUAGACAACUAAAAGUUUCUUUCGGCAAGUGUGGCAUUCAAAAGAUAUGCAAUGCAAUAAUAAAUAUAUUUUACCUUUCAAUGAAACACACUAUUUUACAAGUUUUUUUUACGUUGAUUAAAAAAUCUUAUUUUAUUUAUUUUCAUUUUUUAAACCACAUAACAAACAUAUUUUAAUGUAGAUUGAAAGGUAGAUUGUGUCUUGAUUCCAAAAAAUAUCAAAAUAAAUCAAAUUAAACUUUUUCAAAUGUUUUUUAAUAUUUGAAUACAUAAUUAAAUAUAGAAAACGUAAAUUUCCAUCUAAUCAUUAUAUAACUAAUUUUUAGCUUUAUUAUAAAAGAAUUCUAAUCAUAUUAUCAUAAAAUAUAUAUUUUCAUAUUUGAUUCUUGUCUGUAAGAAUCAUAUUACAUGAUUUUGAUAAUUGUUUAAAAAGUAUUAUUGAACUAUCUAUAUGAAAAUUUAUUAAUAACCAAGUAAACAAAUAUUAUUUUCAUAUUUUUAUCAGAAAUUAUUGCCUAAGAUUGUCUACAACAUUGAUGGUUCGUUUAAUUUGGAACAGAAAAUGAAAAGUAAUUAAAUACAUGAAUACAUGAAAAUUUCAAAGAACGAUUUUCAUAAUUUUAUAAUAUAAUUUGAGUUUAACAUGUGAUUUAUAUAAUAUUGAAAUCUAAACUACCUUCAUGUAUUCUAAAAACAUUGUACAAAAGUAGUUAGAGAAGUUAGCCAUGAAAAAUAAAUAUGAUGCUUUGUGGAUAGGCAUAACCGGUCAUCACCAAAGCUCAUAUGGAGCAUGAAGUAGCCUCUAUUUUAGUACAAACUCAAAAGUAGAACAACAUUGUAUGAACAACGGAAAAAAGAAAUUACUGACAUAUGCAUACAUAGAAACCAAACAAAAGGGAACCUCACAUAUCACUUUGAUGCGAGUAAUUUCUUAUGUCAGAAGUAAACCAACACUGUAUUUCUUGUCCAUUUUAUUAGUUUAAUAAAAAUAAGUAAUUGAUAGUGAAAUAUAUUAUUAAAAGAAAACGUUGUAAAUGAACAUUUCUUACAGAAAAAUAAUCACUACCACCAACUUUCUUAUUCUCAACUCAGGUACAUUCGGAAUUGGGUUCAUAUAAAAGCAUAAGUUUAAAUGGAACUGAACAAAAUUUAUGUUUGUAAUAAAAUGAAAACAGGGGUGCACAGAUACAUAAGCUAUAAUCAAAAGGAAUCACAAUGAAUCAUAAAUCAGUUGCAUUAUUUAAUCUCAAAGAAAUUUGUUUCACAUCAUUAAUUAUAGGUCAACCGAGUCAUGAGCUGUCAAACAACACAAUAAGUAAAUUAAUAUAGUAGACCUCAGUAGACAUGUAUAAGCAUAAAAUUACAUUCCAAGACUUGGGUUGACUUUAUAUUAGGUUGACCAUUCUCUUUUGCAUACCCUCCACCUCCAUUACCUACAAAUCGAGUAAAAGAGAAAAGUCAAAUUCAAAUAUAAACACAUGUGUGCACUCUUCAAUCAAACCAACUUUUGAAAGAGACUGUUUUUAUAGUCAAUUAUCAGUUUCCAUCAUAGGAAUUGUAAUGUAGUCCAUUGGAAGAGCAUGCAAAUAAGAACAUUGUGGUUGAAUGUUGUGUUACAUGCAUAAGGAGGUGGUGUUUGUUGUCAAUGAUAAUGGAAGGUGGCAGAAUGUAUGGUCCUUCACAACUAUUAAAACUCUUCCACUUCACAAUCCAACCACCUUACAACCCUUACACUUUACCCCUUCCAUCAUCUUCAGUCCAAGAACAACUGCAAACCGAGGGGGAUUCACCUGCCAUCAAUCUUCAAUGUUAUUAAGAUCUUUAGCAAAAAAACACCCAUUCUUCAAAAUUUAAGACAAACUAAACCAAUUUAGAAUACACAACCCAUAUGUAUAAUUUAUGAAAAUGACUGUUUCGCCCUUUUCCCAGUUCAUCUUGUUAUUCAACAAACAACAAAUUCAAAUUUAAUUGCAUUCAAAACUUCUUGCUUCAAUGACCAUUUCUAGCUACGAAAUAUUAAAAUAUGGAUCUGUAGCUAAAUCAUAACAACUUACAUAUAUAUAUAUAUAUNGAUAAACUCACCAACACCUGCAACAAACCUUGAGAGGCACUACAUCAAACUUACUUGUAAGUUGCAUAUGAGAUUAAGGCCCUUCGUCAAUUAUCAGUUUCCAUUCAACUGGAAAACAAUAUCAGUUUCAUAACUAAUAAAUGAGUAGGAAAUGAAUAUAAAAGAAAUUACUUAAAUGGAAAACCAGUGUAAGCAACUAUGAGAUAAAUAUUAACCAGGAAUGUCAUUGAACUGGUGUGCAACACCAGAUGAGAAGAGUGAUAUUACAAACAUUAGGGGCAUGUCCGGAUCAAGGGUAAAUUCGUCAACAAAGGCAAAACUUCCCCUCGACAAAGGUAGGAACUAACCUAACCAUCAAGAGCUUUAUACACUUCACUAUUACCAAACUCCAAAUGCAGUAAGUAAUAAGCAGCUUCAAUAUUUACUACCUACCAGCAUCAGGGGCAAAUUUGUCCAAAAUGACCGAUUGAAGGAUUAAUUAACAACCCAGUAAAUACAACACCAAACUCUAACUGUUUUACAUUCACACCUAGAUGGACCAUCAAUGAAUGAAAAAUCAUCCUAAACUCUUUUUAAUCUGUAUGAGAUAAUUAAAUAUAUAGAAACAUUAAAAUAUAGAGUACAAUUAAUGCAACCCCAACAUUUUCCUUUUGACUUUAGAUGGUCUCAUAAAUUAAGAAAUCAACUUACCCAUUGAAUCUUGUACAUUAAAUGACUUGAAUUCCUCAAAUUUACAUAUAAAAAAUCAAUAUUAAAACCUACAACCAAGCCAAACUAUGAAAAAAUUACUGAAAACUUAAAUAGUUAAUCACCUUCAGGAACUCUAAACAUACACCUUUUAUGAGCAUUUAUUUCAUUCUUUUAUUUUUAUUAGGUUUAUAUGGCACCAACACCCUAACCUACACAACCCCAAAGACAAUCUUUUUAUUUGUAACAAGGAUCAAAACUUUGAAUAAGCUUAAAAAGAAUAACUUAAAUAGCAAGAUAGUUCUUUUUGGGAGUAAAACCAUAAAGAUAACGCUUUAAGUAAACGAUAUGUCAAUCCUGGUGAGGGGGAAAAUAUGUAGGUCUCAUGAACAAAAAGUAUGUAACCUACAAAAAAACAACAAAUAUCAUAUAAAAUUCUACAACACCAUCAAUUUAGGAUGCAAUGAUGUGUGUGUGUGUGUGAAUUGAAUUAAAUCAGCAACCACACACCCAUUCAAACCAUGGAGAGUAAACCUUUGAGUUAGCAACAAGUCUUUUUAUUACCAUGAGGGGUAUAGUCAAAGAAAAUCCAAGAAGAAUAGAUGAUUUUCUGCAAACAUUUGUAAACCAUUAAUGAUAUAUUGAAUGUAAAUGAAAAUAAAGAAUUUAUCAAUAAUGACUAUAUCUGAAGAAUAUAUAGAUAGAAACAGACCCUUACCAAUGCUCAUCAAGAAACAUAUUCCCUUGAAGUUUCUAAACCGAGACAGGAUUGAAUCUAAGGCUGAGAGUUGAAGCACAAAAACUAAGAAAAACCGGGAAUUGAUUAAACAAAAUUAAAAUGGAAAAAAGUCAUAAGAUCGAAUACAAGAUUGAGAAAUGAAGCAAAAAAGAGAGAUUCAAAUCUGAGACUGAGAAUUGAAGCACAAAGAUGGGUGUGAGUUUAGAUACGGGAUAGGAAAACAAAGAAAUCCAAACCUUUACUCAUAGAACCCAUAACUCGUUCUCCUUCAAAGUUACUCUUCUACUGAAACUAAAAAUCAAAAUCAAGUUUUAUUGGAAGGAGAAAGUAUAAAUCCAUAAGAUUUGGUUGUGAUGUAACAGAUAGUCAAGAUUUAUGUGUAAUAAAUGUACAUAGAAGCUUACAUGGUUCUUCUUAUGGUAGCAACGAUUGAAGAUGGUAGCAGACAGAGGGGAUGUAAGUGUACCUGACAAUUAGUGGUGCAAGGGCGGAGAGUGGGUGGUGGUGGCGGAGAAACAAACAGGUACACCGUUUCGUGGUGGUAGUUUAUUCUUCAUUGUUGGGGAAGUGGAUGGAGAAGGUCUAGGGUUUAGAAAGAAAGGGGCGUAAAAAGAUGAGGAGCGUGUUUGGGUUUCUUUUGGGGACGUUAAUAUUAAGCUAAAAAGGAUUGUACAUUAUGUAAUAAUAUUUGUACCUCUUAACUUUCAAGAAAUGUCCAAUAUGCUUUAUAAUAUAGUAAAGAUAUAUAUAUAUAUAUANNNNNNNNNNNNNNNNNNNNNNNNNNAUAUAUAUAUAUAUAUAUAUAUAUAUCACAUUUAUCCCUCUAAGGGUAAAAGGAAUGGAUAAACUUCGACUCAUAUGCUAGCUCUACGUACUCAUCAAAUCACACACAAUAAUAUGUUUUAUAACACCAAGUUACUGGUGCAUUUAGAUAUUACCAAUGUGCAUCCGAUUUGUAAACUGCAACUAUAUGUUUCCGUUUCAAGAAUAUAAGAUAUUAUCGUCUCACUAAUCACUCAUCAUAAAAUCCAUGAAGUGAUUCAGAUGAGCGUGGGUUUAAUCCAAUACUCAAAUCUUAUUACAGGAGUACUCAUGAACACUGCAGCAAACUUGUGGUAUGUGUAAAAUACCUAGACAGUCUACAGGCAGAUUCAUGAUAGUCUUACCUCAAUACCUACUUCCAAAGUAUGAUCGAUUGUGGAUAGCUUGAAUAAUCUUAUUAUUCGUGAUGUAAAAAAAUGCAAAGUGAAACACAAGAUUAAUCGAAUUCGAUAUGGUCUCAAAACCUUUGAAAUAUAAAUAAAACACCUUUUAUUUAAUCACCAUGUUGAUUACACAUUAUUCAUUGGAUAAUAUUCCGAGUAAUAAACUUAAUAUUUAAAUUAAAACAAUAGUUAUGCCAUGCUCCAAGCAUGGACACUAUGUGUAACAGCCCGGAUUUCCAGGUAUCUUUUAUGCUUAUGUUUUUGGUGUUUUGUGAGGGGACUCGGCGAGUUGGAGCUCAGACUCGCCGAGUAGGAUCACGGUUCUGGACGCGGGUUCGCGCCUGGACUCGGCGAGUCCAAGGUAUGGACUCGGCGAGUCCGUGCUGUUUAAUGAAACCCUAAUUUGUCGGGUUUGGGACCUAUUUAAAGGGCCUUAAGGGCGUCAUUUGUGCUCACCAGACCCCUGAGUGAAACCCUAGCGAGUUUGAGCGUUUGGAGCAAAGUAAGGAGCCAUUAUUGUCCUUGGAGGUUUUAUAUUGCAAGGGAAAGGAAGCAAUAGCUAAGGGGAAUCAAGAGGAGCCACUUCCUGAAAGAUUUGAGGCCAGAACAUCACAUUUGAGGUACUACUUUCGAGCUAUUCUCUGUUAUGUUGAUGUCUAUGUUGAUUUAGGGAUUAUUGAGCCCUUUUGUGGUUAGAUCUAGUGCUUCCUUGGUCCCUUAAGUGAGUUAGGUUAUAGAUCUGGACCUUUGGAGGUCCAGAGUGUCCCUUUUCCCAAGCUUUUAUGAAUCCGUGAGGGUUUUGGAUUGGGGUCUUGGUGCUUAAGGUCAAAACACCAUUUAUGAGUCAUGGGGUGUGUUAUGAGCACCAAGUUAUGGAAUUUACGUGAUGAAUUAGCUUAGGAGGGCCAGAUCUAUGAGUUGUUGGAGCGGAUCUGACCUCAGAAGCAAGUUUGAGUUGAUGCAUGGCAUGGACUCGCCGAGUCUGAAGAACAGACUCGGCGAGUAGCAUGAAGAUUGUCCUUGACCACUCAGUGAGUGGUCCAGCCGAGUUAUGAGUUGACUCAGUGAGUCAGGGAGAGUUAGAGAGGGUUGACAGGUGGACUGAGUCGAACUGGAACUCGCCGAGUUGUUCUUGAGACUCGGCGAGUUGAGUCGGGGUGGCCCCGCGAUUCAUACCAGGUGGAACUCGUCGAGUCAGGGGAAUACUCGACGUGUCAAAAAGGGAAUCCUAGAGAGUUGGUGAAAACGCUUAGACUCGCCGAGUCGCCCUAAUGCACUCGCCGAGUCCGGUCAAAGUUGACCGUUGACCGUUGACCAGAGUUGACCAGUGUUGACUUGAUAGGGGUAGUCAGCCUUACUGGUAAAAGUGUUAAUUAAGAGACAUAUGAUGUUAUAGGAGGAUUAUAGCUCGGAGGAUCGAGCACGAGUGAUUCCAGGAUUCGCGAGAUAUCGAGAUAGGCGAGGUGAGUCUUCUCACUAUACUUUACCUUGAGUAGGUAACCAGAGUUACGAUAACAUAGUAUUUGUAUGCUAUAUGUAUGUGUUGUGUUGUACAGCAUUAUUUCUAUGUGAUUUAUGCUGUGCAUGUUUUAGAGUUGGAACCGGAAGGUUCACAGAGUUAGAACCUGAGGGUUCACAGAGUUUGGGUGCACGGACCCAUGGAGUUAUAGCCUCGAGUGGCUAUUAUGUGUUAUGUGUAUGGUAUUUUGGAGAACUCACUAAGCUUUGUGCUUACAGUGUUAGUGUUGUUGUUUCAGGUACUAGCGAGGACCGUGGGAAGGGGCCGGCUUGAUCUGUACACACGCAUGGGAUUUUGAUAUAUAUAUGAUCUUGGGAUUUUGUAUGAUGUGAUUUGGGAUUUUAAAACUUAAUGUUUUUAUGAAAUUAAAUGAGAAAUAUUUUUAUAAUUUGUGAAAAAUUAUUUUGAAAUUCACGGUGUUACACUAUGUUUUGCCUAUGGUCCUUUCUUUGUGAAAUAGAUCAAUUGAAAACAUUUUAAUGACGCUCAUUUCAUAAUUCCGAAUCUUUGUCCCCAGUAUAAGAAUACCAAAUUCUUGCCACUAUAAGAAUAUGUUAGGUUCUAACGUUUAUGCAAUGUAACUUUUGUAAUGUCGGGGAACCAAAGUUAUAGAGACUUUGCCAACGAUAUUACAAAACUUUCCACUGGAGAUUGAGCAAUUCCAUGGAAUUGAAGCCUCACAUUGAAAGUACAUUCCUUUGAGCAUCCUUCUUUCACAAAACUUUCUAACUUACACACCAACCCCCAUUUAUGGAAACAUUUCCAUAUUUGCCAUAUGACAACACAUUAUUUAUAGAAUCUUGUCUAUUCAUAAUAAUGUUAAUAUGGUCCAUUCAAUACUAUACUUCCAACUGCCCAUAAGCGACCGAUCCUUGGCGAACCUUAGAUUGUCCUUGACAGCUGUUUAACCACUAUAGUCAUAUCCGGUUCUAGUCCCUUUUUUUCAUCUUAAUGCCCUAGGAAUUUUGGAAAUUUAGAAAACUCGAAUACUACAACAUAUGUAAUCGAUCCUAUACCCAAAGCAUAUUAGACAUGAUUCAUAAUGUCUUACAUAAAGACAUGAUACUCAAUCAGUAUUUUCCAUAUAUAAUUCCCAUGUUGAAGCACUUCAACAUGAAAUUUAUAUAUACCCAUGACUAGGUUUUAUUAAUACAUCAAUCUAAGAUUUUAGAUUCGAAAUAAAGUAUAAGUAUCCUCUCCCUUACUAUAUUGAAACAACGUUUUCAAUUCUGCAACUUUGCAAACUUGUAACCUUUGUUUCUUAUAACCGUUAUUCUUAACUUGCAACACUUCACAUAAUUAUCAUGUUCCCACUAUCAUGAUAGUUAUAUUCUGACCAGCAUAACACUUAUGCUCCCACUAGCUUUGACAUGUACUUAGAAAUCAGGUGGACUUCUAGAAUCAAUACUUAUUGAAUUUCUUUCCAAAGUUCAUAUUUGUGAUACGAGAUGCUUAUAUAAGCCUUUAUCUAAGCUCAUACACAUUUUAUUAGAAAGCUCAUAUGUAUGUCUAAACUAUUUCAGAACUUACAUCAAUAAGUCCCGAAUGUUCAAACUAUUUGCCACUUCUCAUAAUUCGAACUAUGAAGAGAGAUGUCAUAAUCAUAAUUGAAUUUGAGAACGCAAUUAACACAACUGGUAUCUCCUAAAAAUCUUCUUAGUGAAAGCGUUUCCUCACAAUCAUUUUCAUGAAUUAGAGAGAAACCUUAUGCCACUUAGAUUUUAUGGUGUAUGUGUUCCUAUCCAUGUGAAACUGUCAUUUCCAACCAUUAUGUUUAUAUAAGGUCUAUGGAAAAUUCAAACACAUAUGGAAUGAACUUGUUUAAUUAUAAUAUAGCAAACCAAUUUUCACUUCCAAAAAUUUCAUCUUUAAUUAAUGGAUUUGAAAAACAUUUGUAAGUAAACAAUGUCAAAUCACGUCAUCUCAUAAAACAAUGUAUCAUGUCUGAAAACCCAAAUCCAGAAAAUAGUAUCUUGUCAGAGUACAAUCCCAGAAUAUCUAAUAGUGCGGAAGACAAUGAGCGUGUGUAUGAUGUGUAGCUCCCACGCCAGCUCCUUCCCCUUCGCUAAAGUGGUAUCUGAAACCAAAACUAUAAAUCGAAAGCACGAAGCUUAGUGAGUUCCCCCAUCGUACAACAUACCAUACAAUCAUAUCGCAUGCAUACUGCCGGGCAAUUCCGGGGGUGCCCGACCUACCCAGUACGACCAUUCUACGGUGCCGACUUACCCGGUACGACCAUUCUCGGGUGACGACCUGCCCGUGUCAAGCCAUUCUGGGGUGCUAACCUACCCGUGUCAAGCCAUUCUGGGGUGCUAAACUUCCCGUCGGUCCUAACAACCGAAUCAUCGGGGACUAUUCCACCCCUUACUGCUACUAUCACAUAUAUCAUAACAUAAACAUACUAUCAGACAUAUCUGGGGUGUCCGAACUACCCUUCGGUCCUAACAACCGAACAUGGGGACUAUUCCUCCUCCUACUACCACUAUCACAUAUAGCAUAUCAUGCCGGCAUAUAAAACAUAUCAUAACAGACUGUCAGACAUAUCUGUGGGUGCCUGAACUACCCUUCGAUCCUAACAACCGAACUCUACUACUAUCACUUAUAACAUAUCAUGCCAACAUAUAACAUAGCAGGUAGUAGCAAACCUAGAUGAAUAUCACAAAGACAAUCAUCUAACAUAAAACCCCUACUGGUGGGUCGGCAUUGUGGCCGUAGAGCCACCGCUACUGAAAGGUAACUCACCUCGUAAGGCUGACUCCUGAAAAGCUGAUCUGCGGAUGUCUGACUACUGCUUUGGUGGUUCUCCGGCAACAAUACCCAUAAACACUUAGUCAGACAUUGAUAACUACUCUUAGGGUAAAAUGACAGUUUUACCCUUGACCAUGUCAAAGUCAAAGUCAGAGUCAACAUCAACUUUCAGUUCACCUGACUCGCUGAGUUGGGCCGCAAAGUCGUCGAUUCCUAUCCUUUCAACUUCCCUUAUCCACGCCUCUACUCUUCGAUUUUAGCAAUGAGUCGACGAGUUCUCUUUCUUUAUGAACCUUAAAUGAUCCUUCAUCCGACUCGUCGAGUUGUAUGAACAACUCGAUGUGUUCAACUUCAACUCUUGAACAAGUCCUGACCUUGACUCGCCGAGUUGUAUGAACAACUCGUCGAGUUCAUCUUCAAUUGUUGGGAGAUUGCCUUGGACUCGCCGAGUCUACUCAUGCACUCGUCGAGUCCUAUGAACUCCAGGUCUAUGGCUAAGUCCCAUUCGUUGGGUCACUACCCAGACCCCUCAAAGACCAUUCUAUCACUCAUUGGGUUCCUUUAAACUCUAACAGAAAAAGGGAGUCAAGCCAUGGACUCGCCGAGUCGAUAAUGUCCAAGUCUCAUUUAUCCAUUACUAGUGUACAACACUUGUCCAAAUGAUAGAUCUAGGCUCGUAAGAUCGAUCUAGCACGUAAAGUUAUGAACUUUACAUGCAUGCAUGGGACUAUGAGCUAAAAAGACCGUAAAAGAAGCUCUUAAGUUGCAUGGGGCUUUCCAUGGGUGCAAAGACAGUCCCUUUCUGCCUUCUAUCCCCUUAAUGAUUCUAGAUAUAAAACCUUAACCCCCACCAUGCUUGCAAUCAUGGUUGGUCACCAAGAAUGGCUUAUAAAAGCCCUAGAUCUCCCAAAAAAGGGAUCUAAUACAAGAAGGAUCAAGGUGUCGGCUUUGUACCUUCCAAGAACUAUAGAUGAUGCACAAGAUUGACUCAUCUGGCCAACCUCUUGGUUCCUAAAUCUUUUCCUUCCUUCUUGCCACCACAAAAAACCAAAAAUCACUAAAAGGCCUUUAGAUCUUCACAACACGAUUAGGGUUUUAUUUUGAGUGUUCUAGGAGGAUACAGGGGCGAUAGAGAACCCUCAGAUUAGGGUUUUGCCUAGCUAGAGUCUACUCGUCGAGUCUUGCCGCCGACUCGACGAGUCCGCCACUUUACCCCAGGGUCCAAACCGCUACUACUCGAUGAGUUAGGCCAUCAACUCGCCGAGUCUCGGUCCAAAUUGCGAAAAAUACUUGAAUGAAAUACAUACUAGGAACCAUUUGCUACAAUUCUCCCCCACUUAUUUUAGACUUCGUCCUUGAAUUCUGCUGCUCGUUUCUAGAAAAGCUCUGGGUAAUGCUGAAUCAUCUCAUCCACCGGCUCCCACGUCCAUUCUGAACCCUUCCGAUGCUGCCAUUGCACCUUCACCAGCUCGACCCUCUUGUUCCUCAGAUCUUUUGACUUUUAGUCAAGGAUCGCCAUAGGCCGCUCAAUGUAAUUCAGGCUAUCAUCAAACUGAAUAUCCUCCAAGGGCAUUACUGCCGAGUCAUCUGCUAGGCACAUCCACAACUGGGAGACAUGCAAAGUGCUGCAGAUCUGACUGAGCUCGACUGCCAGGUCCAGCCGGUACGCCACCUUGCCCACCCGAGCUAUAACCCUGAAAGGUCCAAUGUACCUAGGGCCUAACUUUCCCAGCUUCCUGAGUCAGACGACGCCUUUCCUAGUUGACACUUUCAGGAGAACCAUAUCCUCGACCUGGAACUCUAGGUCUGAAUGGUGCUUGUCGGUAUAGCUUUUCUGCUGAUUCUGCGCAGUUUGGAUCCUGCUCCUGACCUGCUGAAUCCUCUCUGUCGUCUUGAGCACCACUUCGGUGCUCCCCAUGACCCUCUGACCAACCUCACCCUAACAUAUCGGGGUCCUGCACUUUUUCCCGUACAACAUCUCAAAGGGAGGACGAUCGAUACUCGAGUGGUAGCUGUUAUUGUAGGAGAAUUCAGCCACUGGGAGGUAAGCAUCCCAGCUACCACCGAAAUCUAGCACACACGCUCACAACAUAUCCUCUAAAGUCUGAAUGGUCCGCUCGCUCUGACCAUCUGUCUGCAGGUGAAAUGCGGUGCUAAAGUGCUGACGAGUACCCAUCUCGUCAUGGAAUUUCUUCCAGAAUCUGGAAGUAAACCGCACAUCUCUAUCGGAAAUCACGGGGACUGGCACUCCAUGCCAAGCCACAACUUCUCUAAUGUAAAUGUCGGCCAACUUCUCGGCCGAUAUACUCUUCUGGAUCGGUAUAAAAUGGGCGCUCUUGGUCAACUGAUCCACAAUGUCCCAUAUGGAAUCCACUCUCGCACGGUCCUGGGAAGUUUGGUAAUGAAGUCCAUGGUAAUAUCUUCCCACUUUCACAGGGGAAUAUCCAACAGUUGCAUCUUGUCGUGUGGCCUCUAGUGCUCGGCCUUGACCUUCCUGCAGGCCAAGCACUGCUCCACAUACCAUGCUACAUCCCACUUCAUGCAGGGCCACCAGUAGUCAAGACAAAGAUCUCCAUACAUAUUCGUCGCUCCGGGAUGGACAAAAAACCUUGAUUUCUGCGUCUGCUCCAUCAAUAUCUGGCGCACGCCUCCAUGAUAGGGGACCCACACCCUAAGGUGAAGAUUCAUUAACCCUCGACUAUCAUAGUCAUAGGAGGAAACCUGACCCACUAUACACUCGCUCUUUUGAUGUUCCUCAUGCAUAGCCUCCUAUUGGGCCUCUCGGUUCUGCUCCAAUAGUGGAGCCACUACUGUCAUCCAGAUGCAUGUGUCUCUGAUCGGCACUGCCUUACGGCUAAGUGCAUCGGCCACUGCAUUGGCCUUCCCCAGGUGGUAUAGGAUCUCACAAUCAUAAUUCAUCACAACAUCUAACCACCGACACCGAUUCAUGUUCAGAUUCGACUGUUCAAUGAGGUAUCUCAGACUGUUAUGGUCCAUGUAGAUGGUACACCGAACCCCAUAGAGGUAAUGACGCCAAAUCUUGACGGAAAAAACAACCGCCCCUAGCUCUAAGUCAUGCAUUGGAUAGUUCGCCUCGUGAGGUUUCGGCUGCCUCAAAUCGUAAGCAAUGACAUGCCCUUUCUGCAUCAAAAUUGUGCCCAAGCCUAAGAUGGACGCGUCGCAGUACACAACAAAAUCCUCCAUGCCCUCUGGCACGGCUUAGAUUGGCGCCUCGGACAUUCUCUGUCUUAAUGUCUCAAAUGCAGCCUGCUACUCAGGCCUCCAGAGAAAGACUACGACCUUUUUCGUUAGCCGAGACAAGGGUACGACUAUCUUGGAGAAAUCCUGGAUGAAUCUACGAUAGUAGCCAGCUAAUCCCAGGAAACUCUGAAUCUCAGAUGGAGAUUUCAAAACAUCCCAUCUCAUCAUGGCCUCCACCUUGGCUGUGCCGACCAGAAUACCGUUCCGGUUGACAAGGUGCCCAAGAAACUGCACCUUGCGCAACCAAAACUCACACUUGGAGAACUUGGCGUACAAGCUCUCCCUCCUCAGGGUAUCCAAAACCUCUCGCAGAUACUCCUCGUGCUCCUCCUGUGUCUUGGAGUAAACCAAGAUAUCGUCGAUGAACACUAGCACGGACCGAUCCAACAUCGGUGUACAUAUGCGGCUCAUGAGAUCCAUGAACGCGACAGGAGCAUUGGUGAGCCCGAAGGGCAUCACCACGAACUCAUAGUGGCCAUAACGCGUACGAAAGGCAGUGUUUUGUACAUCCUCCUCUCUAACCCUCAUCUGAUGAUAACUUUAACACAAAUCAAUCUUGGAGAACCAACAUGCUCCCUGUAACUUGUCAAAGUGGUCAUUAAUCCUAGGGAGUGGGUAACAGUUCUUCACUGUUACCUUAUUUAGCUCCCGAUAAUCUAUACACAUCCGAUGCAACCGGUCCUUCUUCUUCACAAACAGAAUCGGGGCUCUCCAGGGUGAACUGCUCAGUCUAAUGAAUCCGUUGUCUAACAGCUCCUGUAGCUAUGUAGACAACUCUUGUAUCUCAGGAGGAGCCAGCCGAUAUUGUUCCUUGGCUAUCGGAGCAAUCCCAGGGACUAGGUCAAUCCAAAACUCCACCUGCCUCUCCGGAGGUAUCCCGGGAAACUCCUUGGGGAAUACAUCCGCUAACUCUCGCACUCUUGGCACAUCACCCACCGUCGCCCCUCCCGCCUCCUGGAUGUCCAUAACAUAGGCGACGUAUCCUGCGCAACCCUGCUGAAGGUAGCACCUAGCCCUCACUGCCGAACAUAAAGUUGGUCCUAGUUGUGGCGUCUCGCCCUGAAUCACCAGCUCCCCCCACCUCGGGUCAUCAUCCGAACCAACUACUGCGCGCAGUCAAUCACUGCUCCAUUGGGGCUUACCCAAUCCAUACAAAUAAUAACUUUGUCCCCCCUCAACGGUAUGGGAACCAUAUCCACUACAUAACGCUCUCCGAACAACCUCAAAACACAAUCCCAGAAGACCUUUGAUGCUCCUACAGACCAGCAUCAUAUAAAUAAAUCAGAGGGGAAGAAUCAUACUCGUCACCACAUCGGGUGCGACACAUGUCUCCUUGGUAGUCAACUCGAAGGCCCGACUCCUCACCACUGGAGCCUCUGACUUGCCCCGACGGCCAUUAGUAAUUAGCAGGGUCGUUGGGGCGAUUAGCCUUCUUAUGGUCCCUCUGAUUGCAGUGGAAAGACAACAUCUCGGAUGUUUGAAUAGUGGGUAUAGGGGAGGUACAAUCCCUCCUGAAAUGCCCCGUCUUGCCACACUUUUAGCAGCCCGACAAUCCCAACCUACACGCCCCCUCGAGUGGCCUGCCGCAUUUCCUGCAACGACCCUGUCCUGAUUGGCCUUUUGGCCUACCAUCUGAUCCUUUGGGCUUCUUCCCGAAGCCCCAGUCGUCUUCCCCUCCUCUACCUUCCUCUUUCGGAUGUGCUCUAGAUUAUUGUCUCUCUCCCUUGUCCAGGCAAUCAUGGAAUCCAGGGUAGGGCAAGCAGUAAAACUAGCAUGCUCCGGAAUGUCGGCUCACAGCAUGUCAUGGUAGCGGGUCCUCCUCAUGUCCUGAUCUCCUAUAUACUGUGGCACCAGUAAUCCCGUCUCUCGGAACAUGGCGAUGAUCUCCGCCAUAGUCUUUGUAUUCUGUUUCAUAUCCAAAAGCUCCCUGGCCAACUGCUGAAGCUCCACAGCUGGCAGGUCCUCCUCAUGUCCUCAUGGUGGCGGGUCCUCCUCAUGUCCUCAUCUCCCAUUACUGUGGCACCAGUAACCCUAUCUCCUGGAACUUGGAGGUGAUCUCUGACAUAGUCUUUGUAGUUUGUCUCAUAUCCAAAAACUCCGUGGCCAACUGUUGAAGCUCCACAGCUGGCGAAAAGUCACUCCUGAACCGAGUCACAAAGUCCGACCAUGUCAUAACCUCAAUAACCGAGGCUUCCAGAGUGUCACCGACGGACUGCCACCAAUCUCUGCCCUAUCUCUCAAGCACCCUGAUGCAUAUCUCACCUUCGACCUCUCAGGGCAGAAUCUGGUCAACCGUGCAGACUCAAUUUAUGCAAUCCACCGCCUGGCCACAAUGGGGUCCUUCGCCCCAUGGAAAUCCGGUGCACCACUUCCCCUGAAUUCCUUAAAGCACAGUGUGUGAUCCUGUAUGACUGAUCACCAUGUCACUCUUGAACGCCCUGAAGCGAUCCUCCAUCAACUCGAUAGUGCCUUCCUUGAUCGACCCGAAGAUGACCGGGGUCGCACCAAGGAUGCCUCUAGGGAUCUAGGACAUGAUGAACUCACGUAGCCUCUCAUCCACUGGUUCGGAAUCUGAACCCCAAACCGAUCCCUCUCUUGAACUGCCAACUAUUGGCCUCAGACACAACACCACCAUUCUGUAAUACAUAAUGACAACCGUCAGUGAUACUGGUACAUCUAGAGGGAUCACGUCUAUCACAACUUUCCUGGUCUCGUCUAAGCCUUCAUCGACUCAUGUACGGAUCCUCUGCUUUCAGUAGUACGGGCCCAUACUACCUUCCAUAUCUAUCUGUAGUUUCCUCAAGAACUGCCUCGACUCCACCAAGUCCCUUCUACUGCUACUGAUCUCUGCUACUUUAAUCCUAGGCUUGGCCUAGGGUACCUCUAACUCCACCAAAACUAGUCCUCAGCUGGUGAAGGCCUCUUUGCAUUGCCAACUAGCCAGCAUAUGGAUACAAUCACAUGCCACGAGGCUCAGAUAAUCCUUCGUGUAAGGGACUCAUCCUUACAACGGUUAGGAAUCAAACAAAAGCUACGUAAUGGGGUCAAAUCCAACACUCUGAGAUUACUCAACCUUGAUUGCAUGUAACCUAACGUACCCUCCUAAUAGCUAAAUCCCAUCACUCCGAGUCCCACAUAGCACAAAGCAAGCAACAUUCAGACAAAAAGGAAACAAGCUCAAGCAAUUCUAUCCACAUAACAAGAAUCUGUACUAGCAAGCAAUAUAAGUUCAUAUAAUCACACAUAACCUAAACAUCAACACUGUCAUGAAGCUCAAAAGCACAUAUAACAGGCACAUAAGGUAUCUUUCCUAGAUCCUUAGUCCUAAUCUAGCAUGAUGUUCCACUGAAACUGAUAAUCAUAACAUAAACUUGUAUGGGUACUUUGGGGAAAAACCUACUUGAGCUAGGCCAGUCGUGCACAUCACACAUCUUGUUCUUUCUUAAAACUUUUUAACUUAGCUUUUAGAAAACCAUUUUCUUUGUAAAAAUCUUUAAUCCAUUGGUUUGAGUCCAGACAUCCCCGAGGGUGUGUCUGAAUCCCUCAAACCAGGAUCUAAUACGAACGUGUAACAACCCAAUUUUCACGUCCAAAAAUUUCAUUUUACUUAAUGGAUUUGCAAAAAUUUGUAGGUAAAUAAUGUGAAAUCAUGUCAUCUCAUAAAACAAUGUAUCAUGUUUAAAAACCCAAAUCCCGAAAAUAGUAUCUUGUCAGAGUAAAAUCCUAGAAUAUCUCAUAGUGCGGAAGACAAUAAACAUGUGUAUGAGGUGCAGCUAUCGCGCCAGCUCCUUCCCCUUCGCUGAAGUGGUAUCUGAAAUCAAAAACUGGAAACCGUAAGCACGAGGCUUAGUGAGUUCCCCCUUCGCUGAAGAGGUACCACAUACCAUACAAUCAUAUAGCAUAUAUACUGUCGUGCAAUUAUGGGGUGCCCGACCUACCCGGUACGGCCAUUCUGGGGUGCCGACUUACUCGGUACGACCAUUCUUGGGUGCCGACCUACCCGUGCAAGCCAUUCUGGGGUGCUGACCUACCCGUGUCAAGCCAUUCUGGGGUGCUGAACUACCCGUCGGUCCUGACAACCAAAUCAUCGGGGACUAUUCCACCUCCUACUGCUACUAUCACAUACAUCAUAACAUAAGCAUACUAUCAGACAUAUCUGGGGUGUCCAAACUACCCUUCGGUCCUAACAACUGAACUUAAGGACUAUUCCUCCUCCUACUACCACUAUCACAUAUGGCAUAUCAUGCCAGCAUAUAAAAAUAUCAUAACAGACUGUCAGACAUAUCUGGGGGUGCCUGACCUACCCUUUGAUCCUAACAACCGAACUCUACUACUAUCACCUAUAACAUAUCAUGCCAGCAUAUAACAUAGCAGUAGUAGCAAACCUAGAUGAAUAUCACAAAGACAAUCAUCUAACAUAAAACCCCUACUGGUGGGCCGGCAUUUUGGCCGUAGAGCCAGUACUACUGGAAGGUAACUCACCUCGUAAGGGUGACUGCUGAAAAGCUGAUCUGCAGAUGUCUAAUUGUUGCUCCGGUGGUCCUCCGGCUACAAUCCCCAUAAACACUUAGUCAGACACUGAUAACUACUCUUAGGGUAAAAUGAUUGUUUUAUCCCUGACCAUGUCAAAGUCAAAGUCAACUUUCAGUUCACCUGACUCGCCGAGUUGGGCCGCCAACUUGUCGAUUUCCUAUCCUUUCAACUGCCCUUAUCCACACCUUUACUCAUCGAGUUUAGCAAUGACUCGACGAGUUCUCCUUCUUUACGAACCUCGAAUGAUCCUUCAUCCAACUUACCGACUUGUAUGAACAAGUCGUCGAGUUCACCUUCAAAUCUUGAACAUGUCCUGACCUUGACUCCUCGAGUUGUAUGAACGACUCGUCGAGUUCAUCUUCAAUUGUUGGGAGAUUGCCUUGGACUUGCCGAGUCUGCUCAUGCACUCGUCGAGUCCUAUGAAAUCCAGGUCUAUGUCUAAAUCUAAUUCGUUGGGUCACUACCCAGACCCCUCAAAGACCAUUCUAUCACUUAUUGGGUUCCUUAGAACACUAACAACAAAGGGGAAUCAAGCCAUUGACUCGCCAAGUCCCAAGAACGACUCGUCGAGUCGAUAAUGUCCAAGUCUCAUUUCUCCAUUACUGGUGUACAACACUUGUCCAAAUGAUAGAUCUAGGCUCCUAAGAUCGAUCUAGCAUGUAAAGUUAUGAAAUUUAUGUGCAUGAAUGGGACUAUGAGCUAAAAAGACCGUAAAAGAAGCUCUUAAGUUGCAUGGGGCUUUCCAUGGGUGCAAAGGCAGUCCCUUUCUGCCUUCUAACCCCUUAAUGAUCCUGGAUCUGAAACCUUAACCCCCACCAUGCUUGCAAUCAUGGUUGGUCACCAAGAAUGGCUUAUAAAAGUCCUAAAUCUCCUUAAAGAGGGAUCUAAUACAAGAAGGAUCAAUGUUUCGGCCUUGUACCUUCCAAGAACUAUAGAUGAUGCACAAGCUUGACUCAUCUGGCCAACCUCUUGGUUCUUCAAGCUUUUCCUUCCUUCUUGCCACCAUAAACCACCAAGAAUCUCCAAAAGGACUUUAGAUCUUCACAACACGAUUAGGGUUAUGUAUGGAGUGUUCUAGGAGGAUAAAGGGGCGAUGUAGGUUGUAUAAGGUUAUUUAAAUAGGGUGCAAACCCUCAAAUUAGGGUUUUGCCCAGCGAGAGUCUACUCGUCGAGUCUUGCCACCAAAUCGACGAUUCCACCACUUAACGUUCGGGUCCAAACCGCUACUACUCGACGAGUAGGGCCAUCAACUCGCCGAGUCUCAGUAGAAAUUGAUAAAAAUACUUGAAUGAAAUACAUAUCAGGAACUAGGUGCUACACUUAAUUUCUUGCCAGUUGGCAGCACAAGGGCCUACCAUGUCUUCUAAGUCGUUGAGAAGAUCACCCUUACUAAUCAAUGAACUUUCAUUAAACAAGGCGCUUUGCCUUAUGCAAAAAAUUAAGAGCUCAUAGAACUCACAUGCAUAUUCAAAUUUAACUGGAAUUAGCACAGAAACAAGAAUAUGUCAAUAUGAUAGGUUACAAACCUGAAGUCGUAUAUUAAUGAUAAAUGGUAGGUUUUAUUCUUGAUUAGCUCUUGAAGAUUUUCAAUAUCUUUAAGACCCCCACUAACCUCUUGACAUAUAAAAUUCUCUGUCAAGAACUAUUCCUUGACAAACAAAUAUUCAAGAGUUAGUGCGGAUUCUUAUCAAGAAUGACACUUCAUAUAAUUAGUCUUAGUUGCUCUCUGUUUUAGCGAAAACAUCACAACUGCCAUUUUGAAAUAUGCAAAAGUAAGACAAUAUUUCUAUUCCAUAUUUGAUGAUGUGUUAUAAACCUACUUAAGACAUGUCACUCAAGUCAUAAUCUUGGAGAAUGAAUCUAAGACUCAAUUUUGGAACAAAGUAUGACUCACAUUAAUUGAUUUAACCAUUUCAACAAUUCCUGAUUCCUCUUCUUAGCCAUACAAAUGCACUAAGGUGUCCUUAGAGGAUCAAUUGUGAUAUGUUUUCAUAAUCAAUAAGAUGAUCAUAAAACAUGAUACUAAAGUACUCCCCUUUCCUUUCAAAUUGGAGAAACUUUUAUCGUUCUGCCUAAUUGAUUCUUCUUAUUCGUUCUACUAUAAAUUGAAAAUUUUUCAAUGAUUAAGAAUUACACUUAAUCUUGAAACUAUAACCAUAUUUACUAACUUUAGUAAAUAGUGACAAAUAAUGUUAUCGUUCUUUGUGGUGGACUUACACCAGUACAAAACAAUUUAUACUAGAUUUCCUAGCCUUUCACUUGACUCACAUAUGUGUGUGAACAAAGAAUUAGCGUUAGUUUCCCAAAGAUGAAAGUUCUCAUUGAUCAUGCAAUACAAGUUGAAUGAUUCCAAGUUUCUGUCCAACUGAAACUUGGUGAUGAGAAACUUUCCUUAUUUGGUAAAUUUAGACACUACCACAAACAAAAGAAUCAAAUCCAUAUUGCUAAAAAAAUAGAAACAUACAAAAAUCAAUUGUCACAAAUGCAAUUGCAAGGAUAUAUAAGACAAGAUAAAAUCAAAAUUUUAUUUAUUUAUAAAAUGCGGAAAUCUUUUCCUUACAAUGCAUUUACAAAUGAAAACUAUGUUACUACAUAUUUAUAAGUAAUGUAGCAUAACUCCUAAGUGGCAGCUCAAAAAUCUAAUCAUCAAAUCAGGCGAUCAAAAACCAUCUCUUCACGAUCAGAUUCAGUUUACUCCUCCUUUAAGCUUCUUUUAUUUUCUUCGAUCCUACAAUCUAGAAAUAGGAACUUAAUAGUGUUAGAUAGUGUACUUACCUGAAGCAGAGUCAAACAUUUCGACUUUAACAUCAUUGUGAUCCUUUAGGUAAAUACUGCAGCUUCGCAUCCAAUGCCACUUCUAUUGGAAGUAGAAGGAAAUAGAUUCUUUUGCAAAGGCACACGGGAUAAUCUCAGAAUUAGUCUUUCUCUUUAACAUUAGGUCAAAGGACUUGACAAUGGCCGAUACCUUUCCAUUGGGAAGAGAAGACUUUUUUGGACUUCCAAUGUUUCCAUUGUCAAUGUCCAUGGAAGUUUGGGCGGUAGAUCUUGUUGGAAUAGUGUCUAAGGCUGCAACUAUAUUAGGCAAGUAUUUGACCCGAUUGUGCAUGGUCCUUUUGGGUUGCCUUCACCAUAGCAACUUGACAGGAUGAUUUAUUAUGAGAGAAUAAAUAUUAUUAAUAUAUUAUGAGAAUAAUAGAAGGAGUAAUAAUAUUGUUAUUUGAUUAAUAUAAGUCAUAAAUUAAUUAGAAUUAAUUUGGUGACUUAAAGAGAUUAAUUAAAUAAGAGGGUAUAAACUGUCAAUUGUUUGAUAGUUACACUUUGGGCUGUAAAUCCUUCUUGGAUAGGGUUGGACGAUUUCUAGGGCUUGGGAUAAGCCACAAAUCGUCCAAGGGCUUAUCUUGGAAAGGAUUUGGAUUGCUUUGAGUAAAGAUUAUCCAACUAGGGUUUAAGGGUGAAACCCUAGGAGCCUUACAAGUAUAAAUAGACCCUUGGGGCAAGGGAAAUCGGCACCUCUGCUAAAGCAAAGAAACCCUGGCCGAUUUCUAUUCCCUCUCCUCUCUCUCAAAUCAUCCUCUUGCUAGUUGGUGUUUGUAAGCCAUUAGAGGAGUGACAUUUGUGACUCUAAAGCUCCAAGAACAAGAAGAUCAAACAAGUGUUUCAAGGUAAGCUUCUAACUCUGAUUUUGUAUUGUUCUUAUACUCAAUUAGCCAUUAGAAGUCUUGGAUUCAAUGCAUGUUUAAUUAGAGAAACCUAGAUCCAAGCAUUAGGGUUUGCAUGUGCACAUAGGAAUGUUCAUAUGGCCAAAACCCAUCAGUGGUAUCAGAGCCUAGAAUGAUUUCUAUUAAAUUGAUGCUUGAUUGUUUGUUUCUUACUUGCAAAAUUCGAAUUUUGUGUUUCUGUGUCAUGAACUCGACGAGUCCCAUGGUGGACUCAACGAGUUGGCCUGACUCGAUGAGUCCAGUUGGGAACUCGAUGAGUCCGAGCGUCAGGAAGGGGCAAAAUCGGGAUUUUUUUUAUAUUUAUCUUAUGGAAACUUGCCUUUAUCAUAUUAGAUCAACCCUAAUCCGAUUUUUUGAUAUAUAUGACUAUAAUCUUGAUCUAAUUAAAGAUAUUUAUCAAUUAAUAAAAUAUUUAAUUUCCUUAUGUGAUAAUUAAUUAAUUAUUUUGAUUAAAUUGGUAAAUUAUUUUGCAAGAAAUCAUUAAAUAAAUCAAAUAUGGAUAAUUAUGGAAUUAAUUGUUAAUUAAGAUUAUUUGUUAUUUGAUCCUCCAUGUUUUAAAUGUUUAAAACUUGCCCUCAAGUUUUGAAAUUUAUGUUUUGUGAUUAAAAGUUUNNNNNNNNNNNNNNNNNNNNNNNNNNNNNNNNNNNNNNNNNNNNNNNNNNNNNNNNNNNNNNNNNNNNNNNNNNNNNNNNNNNNNNNNNNNNNNNNNNNNNNNNNNNNNNNNNNNNNNNNNNNNNNNNNNNNNNNNNNNNNNNNNNNNNNNNNNNNNNNNNNNNNNNNNNNNNNNNNNNNNNNNNNNNNNNNNNNNNNNNNNNNNNNNNNNNNNNNNNNNNNNNNNNNNNNNNNNNNNNNNNNNNNNNNNNNNNNNNNNNNNNNNNNNNNNNNNNNNNNNNNNNNNNNNNNNNNNNNNNNNNNNNNNNNNNNNNNNNNNNNNNNNNNNNNNNNNNNNNNNNNNNNNNNNNNNNNNNNNNNNNNNNNNNNNNNNNNNAAAUGCUAGUCUUACCGUUAGUAGGCCUCAUUCACGAAGCCGAUCUAUAAGGUGGGUAUAAGGUUGCGGCCUAUAAAAUGGCGCUUAAUGGGUGUACACUCACACCCACCGCUUGCUUGAUCGGUGGAGGGUCGUUAGCCAAACGGAUAGGAUAGGGCAGCCUUAUCCUCUCAUUAAAAGUAUAAUAUAAAAUACAAAGUAACUACAUUGUUUUCAAAAAUUUCCCAAUCUUAGUUACUUUAGGAAAAGUGAAUUGAUGCAAUCCCAUGAAAUUACCGGCACACUAAUUGGUUCUAAGCAAAGGUGGCAAAGGGUGAUUCAUUGUUUAUCAUAGUUCGAUGGAGCGUGUGUGGUUUACCGGCAAAUCGAAUAGGUGAUCGUUACAAUGAAGGCACCAUGUGAAUUUGCAUGGUAAUUCACACCCGCUUUGUGAUCCUCGGUAUCCCAGUCACAAACAAGAGGGGCAUAUCGAGAUUUAAACAUGCCAUUGAAAAGUUUCAAUGAAUCUCAUCUAAACCUAGGAAUUCUCAAAUUCAUUUAGAACUUAAAGUUAGGUUUUCAUGGUGGAGAAUUAGUGAAUCGUCAUUCACUUACCUUCAAAUUGUUUGCAUGUUAGAUUACGGCAUCCCUUUUCUAAUAUGUAAAUAUUGUUGUUGGAUCCUAGCCCUAAUUUUUCUUAUUGGGUGAUAAUUAGGGAUUCAUAUUCUAAUCUAUCUUUGUCCUUUCUAUUUGUAGAUGUCGAAUGCAAACAACGCUGCUGCUAGUUCUUUCACAUUGAUGAGCCUUUGUCAAAAGGUCACUUUCGAUGGGACGAACUUUAGCGAAUGGAUAAGAUACAUUCGCACCAUUGCUCGCUAUGAGGAUAAGGAGUAUGUCCUCGAUGAGAAGCUCGAGAAAAUCAACCCUGAAAUCGCUACUCCGGCUGAAAUGACCGCUUUUGAAACUCACGAGCGUGAUGCAACGAAGGUACAUUGCAUCAUGAUAGCCACUAUGAACUCCGAAUUCCAAAAGUCCUAUGAGGACAUGUACCCGUACGAGAUGCACCAAGACUUAUUGGAGAGAUACCACCAAAAUGCGAGACAAGAGCGUUAUGAGAUUUUCACUAACAUGAUUUCCGCUAAGAUGGGUCAUGGAGAGUCUCUUACCGUGCACCUGCAAAAGAUGCAAAGGUAUGUCGACCGUCUUCGCAAGUUGAAUGUUGACUUUGGGGAAGACUUGGCGAUCGACAUGGUGCUUCACUCUUUGCCUCCAAGCUACAAUCAAUUUAGGAUGACCUACCACAUGAACAAAGAGGAGGUCACCCUAAGCAAACUCCAAGGUCUCUUGAGGGUCGCUGAGAGCAACUUCAAGGACAAGUCUGUUGCACCAACUCCCAAUCCACCCGCUGCUCCUGUCUUGGCUAUUGGACAAGGAAAGGGAAAGAAGAGGAAGGCUUCGUCUAAGAACUAUCGCAAGGUUAAAGCCCGAGAUGGUGCCUCUUCUAGUGGGACCAAAGUUGAUCCUGCUAAGCCCUGCCCUAACCCAAAGGAGGCAGAGUGCCACCACUGCCACAAGAUAGGACAUUGGAAGAGAAGCUGCCCAGAGUACCUGCAAGCCAUCAAGGAAGGAAAGAUCAAGCCGUCUUUCGCAGGUAUAUACACAAUUAAAUCUAACGAUUCAUCUCAUGCUAUUUCUUGGGUUCUUGAUACCGGUUGUGGUUACCACAUUUGUUCUAAUGUGCAGGGACUAAGAAGAAAUAGGGAUGUGGAGCAUGGAAGAAUAAAUCUAAUCAUGGGGAACAGAAGAUCGUCGCCUGUGACCAAGAUUGGAGUGUAUUCUUUAGUGCUUAGGAAUGGUUUAUGUUUAGAUUUGAACAAUUGUUGCUAUUCGCCAGAAAUGGCUAGAAACAUCAUUUCAUUUCAUGGUUUGUUUAGACAAGGUUUUAGAUUUUCUUUUAAUAAUGAGAAUGGUUCUAUUUUGGCUUAUCUAAAUGGUGUCUUUUAUUUUGAAGCUAUACCAUGUAAUGGAAUUUAUGAAACUGUUAUGAUUGUUGAUAACUUAGGAAAUGAUGUUUUGAACAUAGAUUCUUCCAAUAGUAUGGAUAAAGCAUCCUUGUGGCAUUGUCGUCUUGGACAUGUCAACAAGAAACGCAUAGCCCAACUCCAAAAGGAUGGAGUGUUGGAGUCAUUCGACCUUAGGGAAGAUGACACAUGCGAGUCUUGUUUGCUUGGAAAGAUGACUAAGUCACCCUUCACGAGUACAUGUGAAAGGGGUGAGGGUCUAUUGGACCUAAUACAUACCGAUGUAUGUGGACCGUUUAGAUCAACCACGAAGGAUGGGAACCGCUUCUACGUGACUUUUACCGAUGACUAUAGUAGAUAUGGGUAUAUCUACUUAAUCAAGCAAAAGUAAGAAACUUUUGAAAAGUUCAAAGAGUUCAAGAAUGAAGUGGAGAAUCAAUUGGCUAGGAAAAUCAAGAUGUUUCGAUCCGAUCGAGGAGGAGAGGACCUAAGUCUUCAAUUCCACGAUUAUCUAGGAGUGUGGNCCUCCUAGGACACCGCAGUUGAAUGGUGUGGCAGAAAGGCGUAAUCGAACCUUAUUGGAUAUGGUUCGCUCUAUGAUGAGCCGUGCCUUACUAUCAAUCUCUUUUUGGGGGUAUGCCUUAGAGACUGCCGCCCAUAUCCUUAACCGAUUCCCUACUAAGAAGGUUGCCAAAACACCUCACGAGAUGUGGACAGGGAAAGCUCCCUCGUUGGCACAUAUCAAGGUUUGGGGUUGCGAGGCUUUCGUAAGACGAGAUACUCACGACAAGCUCGAACCUCGAAGUGAGCGAUGUAUUUUCAUCGGCUACCCGCAGAAAUCCUUUGGAUAUCUCUUCUAUAGACCGAAGGACAAUGUUGUCUUUGUUGCGAGGAGAGGAGUUUUCCGAGAGCGAGAACUCAUAGGCCAAGGAGACAGUGGGAGGCAAAUCGAGCUUGAAGAGAUUCAAGAGUCGAUAUGUGAAGGAACCUAUACUGCUGGCACUCAACCCGAGGAGGAAACUCUAGUUGAACCAAUUGACGAAUCCUUACCUCUUAGUCGUUCCAAAAGAGUUAGGGUUCAAUCCUAGUUUUAUGGUUUUCAUAUUAAUACCGAAGGGGACACGUAUAUCAGUGAUGGUACACUAUUAAACCUUGAUGAACCUAAUACCUAUAAGGAAUCCAUGGCAGGCCCGAAGUCUGCGAAAUGGAAAGAGGCAAUGGAUAGCGAGAUCCAAUCCAUGUAUGAUAACCAAGUUUGGAAUUUGGUUGAUAAUGUGCCCGGACGUAAGACCGUUGGGUGCAAAUGGAUCUUCAAGAAGAAGACCGACGUGGAUGGAAAUGUACACACAUAUAAAGCGCGAUUGGUUGCGAAGGGCUUUACUCAAACUCCCGGAGUUGACUAUGAUGAGACCUUCUCACCAGUUGCGAAGAUAAAAUCUAUUAGAGUGAUGCUAGCGAUUGCCACAUUUCAUGAUUAUGAGAUUUGGCAAAUGGAUGUCAAGACCGCUUUCCUUAAUGGGAAGUUGUUUGAGGAUGUUUAUAUGGCUCAGCCAGAGGGGUUUGUGGAUUCGAAGCAUCCGANUUGAGAAGUCCAUUUAUGGACUUAAGCAAGCGUCUCGCAGAUGGAAUCUUUGCUUCGAUGAGAAAGUCAAAGAGUUUGGAUUUGUACGAAGCGAAGAUGAAUCGUGUGUAUAUGUCAAAGCCAGUAGUUAGCUUUCUCGUUUUGUAUGUCGAUGACAUACUACUCAUAGGAAAUGACAUCCCGACUCUACAGGAGGUUAAGUCCUGGCUCGGGAAAUGCUUCGCUAUGAAGGACCUUGGAGAGGCUUCCUAUAUUUUGGGAAUAAGGAUAGUAAGAGAGAGAAGUAAGAGACUAAUAGGACUUAGUCAGAACACUUACUUAGAGAAGGUACUAAAACGUUUUAGUAUGGAAAACUCGAAGAAGGGAGAAUUACCGAUACAAAGUAAUGCCAAGUUGAGUAAGACUCAAAGUCCGAGUACCGAAGCUGAAAUAGCAGAAAUGAGCCGAGUACCAUACGCUUCCGCAGUUGGCUCAAUCAUGUAUGCUAUGAAUUGUACUCGCCCUGAUGUAGCCUUUGCUUUGAGCAUGGUUAGCAGAUAUCAAGGGAACCUUGGCAGAGCUCAUUCGAUUGCGGUAAAGAAUAUCCUUAAGUACCUUCGGAGGAUUAAGGAAUGGUUCUUAGUCCUCGGAGGGAGUGAUGACUUGAAGGUGCGAGGGUAUAGUGACGCCAGUUUUCAGACCGACAGGGACAGCUACCGUUCACAGUCGGGCUGGGUCUUUACCCUAAAUGGAGGAGCAGUGACUUCGAAAAGUUCCAAGCAGGAAACUGUAGCUGAUUCAACGUGCGAAUCAGAGUACAUUGCAGCGAGCGAAGCGUCGAAGGAGGCAAUAUGGUUGAAGAACUUCAUCGGUGAUCUUGGAGUUGUACCUGGCAUAAAGGAGCCCAUGGAGAUUUUCGGUGAUAAUGAAGGAGUGGUUGCCUUGACCAAGGAACCAAGGGAUCAUGGUAGAUCUCAACACAUCGACAGAAAAAUAUCACUUUAUUAGACAUCGUGUAGAAGAAGGACAACUCGUAGUGAAGAGGAUAUCAUCAGAGGAUAACCCAGCAGAUCCGCUUACGAAGGGACUAAGUAGGGUUAAGAACUUGGAGCAUGCUAGGAGUAUUGGGUUGAAGGAUGAUAUUAGCAUAGAUUAGAUAGUAGUAGAAAUGUGUAAUAGAUAAAUGUAAUUAACAUUUGAUGAUUAAAUAAAAGAGUAUUAUUUAUGAGUAAUGUUAUUGUCUUAUGUUAAUUGUUUAACUAUUGUUUCAUUUUGCAUGUUUUGACUUCGAGAAUAAUUGAGUUUAUUAAGAAUAAUCGAAUUAUUCGAAUUGUCCACAAUCG